AGUGUGUUUAAUAAAUAAAUAAAGUGGCUAUGCUAAUCUGAAUCUUAAUAAUAAAACUCUAGCAUGGAUAUGAUGAAUAGUUGCUCUGCCUAAUUUGCAAAUUUGAAGUUCUCUAUCAAGUUUAGACAUAACUGUUAUAAUUUAAAGCUUGCUCUAGAUCUAAACUUGUGGGAUGAAAACUUGAUCUAAAAUCUAAGUUGUUAACGGAUAUGAUAUGGGAAGGUUGAGCUGCUGUUUAUCUGUUCCUAGAGAUGCUAGAAUUCUGGAGAAUUUUAUCUUUGAAAAAUAUGUAAAAUAUUGCAUGAUGAGUUCCUGUAUGAUGAGAGUUUAAAUUCCUACCACAGCCAUAUAUACAUGCUUGCUAGACUUUGAGCCACACAUUUACUAUUUACUGCUUAUGAGCAUUGAGUGUGGUCAAGCUGUGUAGACCCUUAGGAGCUUGUCAUGUGGUUAAAUCAAGAUUCACUUGCACGUUCACUCAUAUAUGCUACUUCUACUCUGGAAGUACCAUCCACAUAUAUCCAUCCAUGUCCAUCUACAGAACCACCCAAAAAUAUUCUACUCCUAAUCCGGGAGAGAAUAGCCAAAAAUAUUUCUGUUUUCCCUUGUGAAAUAAAUGCUCAAGUUAUCUUGCUACUACCAAUUGCUAUAUUAUCUCAAGAGAUGAGUGCUCUGGAAAAAAGAAAAGAGAAGAAAAGAAAAAAAAAUUAACGAGGAAAUAAAAAGGGGCAAGUGCCCGGAACCUCGAAAGAAAGAAAAAGUGAGACGAGAGGUAAAAAUGGACAAGUGUCUGACAGUAGAAUUAGGGGUACAAGAUACCCACCUGAGAGGAAAGAAAAAGAAGAGCAUCUCAUUCUUCUCAUAAAGUUUCAAAAAGCAAGGAAGGUAUGUAUCCCCUCAAAAGAGCAAAAGUAGAAUUAGACUUUCACCAUUGUUAGCACCAUCAUCACCAUACACCAUUCAUUCGCCACACAUGCACAUCUUGAUUUGGCUUAUUGAUUUGUUUCUUUGGAUCCAUGGUUUGACUAUACAAUAAAUGUCUUUUAAGUAUGUAUACUUUAUCUCCCACCUAUGAGCUCAGAUAUUAAAGCCUUAUUAGAGUAGGGUGAGAGAGAAGGCAAUGUCACUAUGCCUUAUACCACAAAUACCACAUAUCUUGAGAGAAGGCAUAUACCAUCACUGCCUUUGUAAGGAUCCAGAAAUACCACAAAAGAGAGAUUUAGAGAUUCAUACAAGGAAUCUCUGAGUUUUAUUUGAAAAUCUGCAAAAACUCCAGAGCUAUAGCUGAUCAAGAAUAAGAGACAUGGCACUUGGCUAGACUGUUCUAUCUUUUAACUACUCAAGAUAGAAGUGAUUGUUACAAGUCCCAUGGUGAAACGUAAAGUAAGUAAGUUUUAGUUCUUGACAGUUUACUCUAACUCAGAGAUGAGAUCUUAUUUAAAAGCAUGUGUACCAUCAAUUUUUUAAGAUAUUGCAACAACUUCUGAUCCAUUGCUGAGUCUAUCCUUGCUCAGGGACGAGCAAGAGGUAAGCUUGGGGGAGUUUGUUGACGGUCCUUAAGUAUCAAAUUUAAUUAUCAAAUAAACAAAGAAAAGGAUCCAAAUGAAAUCAACAUCUAGACUUAGGGUUUUAUCUGACAUAAUUCCACGAGUUUUGGUGUUUGUCUAUUUCUGCAGGGGGUUAUCAGGAAAUACGGAAGAAAGACCCACACGUUGGGAUUAUAUAGAGAUAUUAACGUGCCACGCAAUUAUCUUACAUCUAGAAGACUCCAGAAGCCACGGGAAGGAAGCAGAGGCCGAAUGGGGCCAGAGGCAGUGCGCCCACCCUCCUGCCCUGGGUGCCCGCCCUGACUUGGAGCCCAAUCAAGACUCUUUCUAUCGGGAGAUCUCCACCGACCUAAAGGACCAAGGAUAACCGUUCAAUCAAUGUCGGUUUGAUCCGACGGCCCAGGUUCAAUUGAAGUGACUAUAUAACCAGACCCCCUAGCCCCUGGAGGAGACACACCCCUUGAUCAUUAUUCAUUAUUCAUAGAUAGAGCAAAAGCUAGGGUUUAGAGAUGAGAGCUCUCCUCUCUUCUCUAAACUAGAGUAGAUCUAGAUAGUAGCAAGAUGGAGAGCCAAGGAGGAUUAGAGGAGAGGCCGGCCUGUUGGUUCUUCCUCCAGUUGUACUUCGUCAUGAUCAAGCUCUAAUCAAGCUUGCUCAUGGGAUGACUCUGGUAAUCUACUUCUAAUUCAUUAUGCAAUUACUAAUCAUGUAUGUUCUGGUUCACAACUCUUUUGAGUACUUCUAAUCUAUAGGACGCUAUAGGUUAGAGUUGUAGUAUAGGUGUAAGCGAUGUGCUUAGAUCUAGAUUACUUGUGGAUAUCCCCUGUCUAGUUAGAUCGUGUGGUAGGCCGCGUAGGCAACAAUUACGUUGGUCCUCUGUAGUCCACCUCUCGUUAGCAGGACGGGUAGGGUUUAUCAGCCUAUGGAUAAGCAUCCUUUUGUUGUAAUCUUAUCACGUGGUUCGUCCCAGACAUAGACAUACCCCUUUGAAGUAGAGAAACCAUAGUUAUCCUCUCUAUUCUGCUACCAUUGCCCAUAUACUAGAAUUGCUCUACUCUCUAUUCCCAUAUUAUCACUCACUGUUAUCUGACCUUUAAUAUUGUUCUUAUUCGAUUCUACCAUCUUUCCUAUUCACACCUAUCUAUCUAUCUUGGUUUAGUUAGAGCGUAGUUGGUUCUCCCGUUUCCCUGUGGAUACGAUAAAACCUUUAACCGGGUAAAAGCUUCAAUGGUAUCCGUGCGCUUGCGGAUUAUCUGUGUGUGUAUAAAUACCAUAGUACACUCUAGUGCCACGCUGGGGAUGACAACCUAGUAUUCAAGUGGUGUUAGCAAGUGUCAACAGUGCUUAUACCGUAUUUAUCUGCGAUUGUACCCAAUAUGCCAGAUCGUGGGGUAGUUCGUGAUAGUGACAGCUUCAUUGAUUCUUAUAUAGUCCCCCUCUCGUGUAUUGGGCUGGCAGAGCAAUAUUAUUACAGGGGAGUGAUUGCUAUGUUUCUCAUUUACAUUGCUAAUAUCACUAUGCAUGGGUGUAGUCUUGUCUUGCAAUGAUUGCUAAGUAUGCUUGCACUAAUUAUGAUAAUGCUAGACUAUAUAGUUGACAAUAACUUAGGGAAUAUUCUUGUAGUUCGUUCUAAUACCAUGCUAAUGACUUUCUAGAGUAUCUAAUUGAGGUGCUUAUCAUAUUUAUUAUGUGGCUAGAUCAAAUUAAUUAUACUUGUCACUAUUCAUUAUUUCAUAUAUCUUUUUAUGUGACACUUAUCCCUGUAUGAAAGAGUUAGAUAAAUUUUCUCAAUUAUACAUGCAAUGAUAGAUACUCAAUCUCAUAUUCUAUUCUGUAAUCAAUAUUGAUGAUUGUUAAUCCCUUCCCAGUGGUAAAAAUAUAAAUAACGAUACCUGGAAUACUUCCCGGUUAAAAUGCUACAUCGGUAUUAAUCUGUGCGCUUGCAGAUCUCAUUCAUUAUUUAUUUAGAAGAGCAAUUGCAUAUUUCAAUACCACGUCUCUCAUGUCAUGCUGGGGAUGACAACUUGGCUUAAGUGGUAUGAGGGAUAGGUUUGGCAUUUUUGGCACCGUUACUAGAUUUAGAGAACUUAGUCUACUCUUGGUAAUGAUGUUAAGAAUACCCAACAAGCAUUUUUGGCGCCGUUGUCGGGGAAGGUUGAUUACUAAUCAGGAAUGGAAUAAAGGAUUUUGAGUUAUCAUUCGCAUCACUAAUAUGAUUGAGCUUAUCUAUUCUCUCAUACAGUUUUACCCCGAUAUUUUUCUAUUUUAUCUUAUGCAGGGGAAUGUAUGAAUAGAAGACAUCUUCCAGGAAAUUUUGUUGACAAUCCCGAAGCAUUAUUCAAGAAGACGAGAGCCAAGCUCAAGAGGAGAUCAUCAACACUUCAGCAAGAAGCUUCAUCCAAUCAAGAAGAUCACUGGAACUUGUCUUCAGAGUUCGAAGCCGUGGCGAACAAAUCAAUCCGCGAGUUCUCAGCUCCCACUACGAACAACAUCCGCACUGGACCUGCUACAGAGAUCGAUGGAAACUUUGAGCUCAAGCCUGGUCUUAUCAACAUGGUGCAAUCCAACCAGUUCUGUGGGAAGCCACAUGAAGAUGCUAGUGCUCAUCUACAACACUUCCUGGAGAUUUGCAAAACAUUCACCAUAUCAGGAGUCUCCAGAGAUGCUAUACUACUUUGCCUCUUCCCAUUCUCACUGUUAGGAAGAGCGAAGCAGUGGUUCUACGCUACAAAGGAGAAGAAUACUACGUGGGCACUCUGCUCAACAAACUUCCUGGCUAAGUUCUUUCCCAUGGGCAAGACCAAUGCUCUCCGUGGGAAAAUUACAAGUUUUCAGCAACAAAAUGAUGAAUCUGUUCCAGAAGCAUGGGAGCGCUUCCAAGACUACAUCCUAGAAUGUCCCCAUCAUGGAAUGGAGAGUUGGCUACUGAUGCAGACGUUUUAUCAUGGGCUCGGCAACAGUGCCCGAGAGACCAUGGAUGCUGCAGCUAGAGGAGCAUUCUUAUCACUUACCAUAUCACAAGCCACAGCUCUUGUGGAGAAGAUGGCGUCCAACCAAGCCUGGAAUGAAGAGAGGACCCAGACACGCAAGAGAGGUGGAGGUAUGCAUCAGCUCAAGGAGGUAGACAUGCUGUUUGCAAAGCUAGACCUGCUCAUGAAGAAGCUCGACGAUAGAGCUGGAGAUAAGAAAGAAGUUAUGCACAUCUACGACUCUCACAUGAUUUGUGAGGAGUGUGGAGAUACUGGACACUCAGGCAAUCACUGCCCUGAGAUGCUUGAGGAUGUGAACUACAUCAACAACAACAACAACAACUACUACUACUACAACCGUCCUCAACAAAAUCAAGGCUGGAAUCAACAGAGGCCUAACUACUCUGGUAAUUAUUAAGGUAACAAUUCUUACAACAAUAAUAAUAAUUUUCCACUUCUGAGAGAGUUAGUGUCUAAUCAAGGAAAGCUAAUGGAUAACCUAUCUAAGAAAUUGGCAUCUAAUGAUAAAAUGCUAAAAAUAUAAAUAAUAGAAUGGAUAAUUUCUCUACUGCCAUCAAGAAUCAAAUUAGCUUUCAUAAAAUGAUUGAAUCCCAGUUAAAUCAAAUAGCUGCUGUUGUUCCUACUACUAACCCCGGUAUACCAUCACAACUGGAAGGAUUAGAAUCUGCAAAUCUUGUAGACAUGUUUGAUGCAGGUAUUUAGAGUAACCCCGUCACUGAAUUCAUUACUGACCUUCUGCCGGUCAAGAGAGGUGAUCCAGGACACCCCGUCAUCCCGAUCUCCAUCGGCAUGGUGGACGUCCCAGAAGCACUCUGCGACUUUGGCUCUAGUGUCAACAUUAUACCCAGGGUACUCUAUGAAAAAAUCUUUACAUAUCCUUUAUUAGAGACAACCAUGUGUUUGCAGUUUGCAGAUCAGACGAUAAGUUUUCCAAAAGGAAUAUUAAAGAACAUUUGUGUCCGAGUUGGUACCUUGUACGCCCCAGCAGACUUCGUAGUGGUAGAGACCGGUAAUGAUGAGAGAGCACCUAUCAUCUUAGGGAGGCCAUUCUUAAACACCACGGGAGCUAUCAUCUACGCCAGUGCUGCCAAGAUCAGUUUCUACAUCAAAGGGAGGAAGGAGACAUUUUUCUUCAAGAACAAGACUACACAAAUCCCAGAUCAAUCCAGACGUGAAUCAAGGAAGAGGACCAAUAGGAGGAACAGGAACAAGCAAGUGUUGACCGAGUCAGCUAAGAUGGUCACUGUAGUUCAUGGAGGCCAAGAUCAUAAACUCAAGUCACCGUUUUUGACUAAGAAGGACGACCCAGGAAUGCCAAGCAUCUAUUGCUCCAUAAAUGGAUACAGCUUCUACAAGACGUUUUGCGACACCGGAUCGGGCGUCAACAUAAUGGCCGUAGUCACCUAUCGGCUCUUGUUCGGAACCAUGCCCCUAAGACCAUCAUACAUUCAGCUCCAGAUGGCAGAUCAGACAUUUCGAGAGGUUAAAGGAACAAUAAUUGAUGUCCCAGUCAAAAUAGACGAUCAUUUUGUCUACACAGACUUUCAAGUUAUUGACAUGGGAGAAGAUGAGUACGAUCCACCCAUCAUCCUUGGAAGACCGUUCCUCAGCACUGUUAAAGCAAUUAUCUACAUUGGAACCGGAGAAGUCCAUAUGCACUUCCCCUCAGAGAGGUACGCCAUUAUUUUACUGACCCUAACUAUAUCUUUGAAGAAUCUAAGCAGGUAAGAAAAUAACGCAACCGCAACCAGAGGAGGCAGAUCAUCAAGGACGGAUGGGCAGACUACGAAGGAGAAGUUGUAAGAUCAGAAGACGUAGAGUUUAAAUAGAAUUAUCCAGAGGAGACCGAAGCACCGAGUCACCUAUCUUGGAAUGGCACACGAUUUAUGUUAAUUGUGUGUUGGUUGUAUCAAAUUAGGUUCCCUCUCUUAGGAGCCAAGCUUAUAGACUUGACUAUUAGUUUUUGAAUGUUUGAGCAUCCAUGUCGAUGCUUGAUAUGUAAACCCAUAUCCAGACCCUUAAGUGUUUGCAUAUACCACGGUUGUCCUACACCAGUUUGCAAAUAUCCUUGUCCAGCAAACUAGCUAGUGUCCUACACCAGUUUGCAAAUAUCCUUGUCCAGCAAACUAGCUAGGAUAAGUCCUCGCUACAUAAAGCAUUUGACUAUAGUUGUUCCUUGCUAGUUACGGAGACCAUACCAAAUCCAUGUUGGCCCUCCCGGUUGCCUCUCCCAAAGCUUAGUGUAAUACCCGAUUUUAAAGACAAAACCAGAUAUGCACCAUAUGCGAGUUUUAAAAGCCAAGCCUCACCUAUAGCUAAAAAUAAGGGGUAAUAUCAAAAGACAAUGCAUAAAUUAUAUAACGUACUUAGUAUAAAAGAGAUAACCUUUGAUAAAAAACAACGGAUAGACAACUCCAAACUUCAGGUAUUAACUUCACUCUACAGGAUCCAACUGACUGGUUGAUCACAAGCCCAAAACUUCUCUUGAGGUGUGGGGGAAAUUGCAAGAGUGAACACAUAUCGUACUCAACAUGUAUAACCAGGGGUUCAUGAGGCUCAAAUAGCUGACACUGGUUUGACUGCAUGUAGCUUUUAUAUGUAGAUAGCAUAUUUAUCAUUGGAUAGCAAAUGUCAAGGUAGCAUAAUUAAAUCCCAUAACCACAUGAUCAAUGUAUACAAGAAUUAAGAAUAACACAUAUAAACAACAUAAUAAACCAUCCUUUAUUAUCAUUAAUCAUGUUCAUCAGUGUCCAUCUAUUCCGUCAGUUUUUCGGGCCGCCCGUAUCCGUGGGCACGGCUAGUAUACCAGAUUUAACACUCUGCAGAGGUUAUACAUCUUUACCCAUGAGUCAUGAUUUACCCUUUCGCCCGAGGCCCGUCGACCUCAUAGCUCACAUCCGAGGAAAGCCGGCAGGGUUCACUAUGAAGUCUUUCAAAGGUUCGUCUAACAAGUUAGGGCCGGAAGGUUUCCUUUGCACACAGAUAUAGAUACCCCCCUUCCAAAUGGCACAAUGACGCGCAGCCUAUACACAUAAGGACAGGGGCUCGCACUAUACCCAAAACGGUUCAGCCCCUCCGCCCAUUCGGGUAACCUCUAACAAGCUAGAAAAUCUUACUCAUACUUGACUAAAGCCAGAGCCAUAUAGCCCUCAUGGUUGUACGAGUUGUCCCAACUUUUGCCAAGGGAUAAGUCCUUAUGGAGGGUUAAGAUCAAUCCAGCAAAAGCCAGAGUUCUUUCCACCCUUUAUAUUCAAGUUGCUAGAAAGCUUAUUUUAUUGUUUAUUGUAUAUUCAAAUAUUCAUGUUACAAGAUCAUGGAUUAUAUUCAAGCACUAGCAAGAACUACCCAAAUGCAUAUCCAAAAUAGGCAACAAGGAAUUCAGGAUAACAAUCAUCUAUGAUUUUGCUAAGGUCAUCAAGGUGGACACAUGCAUAUGAUAAAUGUUAUAUUAAUUGUGUAUAGGAAACAAGGAUGAUCCCCAGUUAUACUUGCCUUGAUCAAAGCUCUCCUGAGCCUGAUGUUGGUCGUCAAAAGCUUGACCUUGAUCACCAACGUAAAGCUCACCGACUAAACUCGAUCAUCAAUCAACAACACGCAAUCCAAUGUAGGCAAUCAUAAACGAAGCAAACAAGCUAUAAUUAGAACAAUACACCAAACAGUGGUAAAACAAAUAUAAAAGUUUAUUAAAGUAUUCUACGCAGCGCUACGAUCACAUAAACGUAAAGUUCGCGAAAAUCGGAGCUAAAACGGAAAAGUUAUGAAUUUUCUAAGAUUUUAUGUUGAAAAGAAAUUAAUUAAUUAAAGUCACGAAAUUAAAAAGUUUGAAACUAAGUAAACAAUUUUACUAACAUGUAGAGCUCAUGAUUAUGAACGUUACGCAAUUUGAAUGGGUCAAAACGGAAUUAAAAUGAAUACUUUUUGAUCAAUUAAAAUCUAGUGGCAAUUCUGUAAAUAGCGAAAACGUAAUUAGAACUGAGCCGAGAGAAAAUACGCUUUCAAAAUUGAGAAACGGCUUUCCCAGAUGACGCCAAGGACCGCAGGUUGAGCAUUGAAUCUUCCAGGGGCUCUUUAAGAAAAACACCAGCGAAGGGGUAUCUUCUAAUCUGGAUCGUUGAUCCACGAUCCAACGAUUGAGAUUCGAUCUAGGGGGAGGGAGAGGGGAUGGCUGGCCGGAAGAGAAACAACGGCGCGGUGGUGCCAUUGACGAGAGUCCUGCUCCUCGCCGGCGUUCGUGGAGAAGGCGCUAGGGACCAUGGUUUUCGAUGGGAAAAGAACCAGGGCGUAGAGGACCUCUAUGCGAACUCACCUAGGGGCUUCACGGGUCGGGGAGGAGCUCGGAAAAGGAUGUUCGACGCGAGGUGGCGCUCGGGUGCUCUGCAGACAGUUCGGGAAGGUUUAAGAGCAAUAGAUCGCGCUAGAGAGUAAAAGGAAGGGCUCAGCAUCUUCUUCACCUCAACCCGAAGCUCGGCAAGUGGUUUUCGGUGCUCUGGACGCAGCAGGUGGGGAAGCCCACGACGGCGGCGAAUUCGUUCAUCGGAGAGAUCUGAACCAAGGCGAGAGAGCUGCUGGGGCGGCUUCACGUCGCGUUAAACGGAAGAGGGGGUCGAGAGGGAGGGCACGGGGCUUUAUUGGCCUGGAGAAGAUCUCCUAACGCGUGAAAUCCCGACCUGAGCGGGAUUCGGUUUCCACCGAGAGCCCGGGGUCGGUGUGGACUCGAGGGAGAAGAAAGGAAGGGUGGGAGGGGAGACUGACACGCGGGCCCGGGAUGUCAGCGAACAGAGAGAGGAAGGGGAGGGAAGGGCGCGCGGCUGGGCUGUUGGGCCCAAGCAAGCUGGGCCGCGGGAAAAGAAGGAGGAGGCCUUCAGGCCGAUUUUCCAGGGAGAGGUGAGGGUUUCCUAUUAUUUUUUUCUUUUCUUUUGUUUAUUUCAAAGCCAUUUUCAAAUUCGUUAUAAAAUCACUUUGAAUUAUUUUUGAACUUUAAUAAAGCCACUCAGCACAAUAAUUAAAAUGCAUAAGCAUGAGUGCACAAAAAUGUUGCUACACCCUAUGAUUGAUUUUAAAUGACUAAAAAUAUUAUUUUUCCUAUAUUUUCAUGAGCACAAAAUACAAAAUUAAAUCAUUUUUCUCCUAUUUAAAAAGUUGUAGAUUUUUGGGUGUUACAAAUCUACCCCCUUAAAAUGAAUCUCAUCCUCGAGAUUCGAAAGAGCAUGGAUUCCAAAAGAGAAACAGGAAAAGAUCUUAAUACUCUUUCAACUUCACACUUGCAUUCCAACUGCAAACUCUUGUGUCUCGGGAUCAUAACUUAUGAACAAAGCUCCCAUAAGAUGUUUAUUAUUCAGAUUUGAUCAAAGUCUAUCUUGAAUUCCAACCUUUUGACUUACAACUCAAGAUCGUGAUAGCUUAGCAUAGAUUUGCCUCCUCAGGUAGGAGUGGACCACCUUGAUACUCGAUUCUUUUCCUUGAUGGUGCGGUUGAGAAAAUUUUCCACUGGAUAUCAUAGAUCACUCCUUUGUGUGCACAUGACCAUAAGAUACAUGAUAGUUUUAAAAACAUCAUCCCGUGAUAUCAAGGUACUACCCCCCUUAAGACGAGGUUGAUUGGGGGACACUAGGGACUAGUUCUCCUAUCCUUUUUAGAUGCUACACAUCAUAGUCUUUUAAAUUCCUUGUACCAAGUCUCUUAAUCCAGGGUUGGUUUCAACACUAAGUUCCAUCUAUUGGUACCUUUAUCGCAAUUAAGUUGUUUCACUCUCAUAUUGUAUAUGUAACUUUGUAGCCUUUGGUGUCAUCUGAUCCUCAUACACAACUCUUAAUCCAUGAGUAUCAGCAAUGACAUAUACCUCCAUGGAUAUUCUCUAAAUGAGAUGAUAUUCUUGAACCAAAAGAAAUUUACCCAGCGUUUGUGAUACUCACGUAUGAUCCAACACUAGUCAAUCCUUCUCGUUGUAACUCCUUUAACUAGGAUAUCCCCCUUAAGAAAAGUCAACUAGGGGACAAAAGGAAGGUAGCUUGCAUAUUUUCCAGACAAGUUGACUAGCACUGAGAGCUUUUGACAUCCCAAAGAACUUGUGUGCAAAAGAAUAAAUAGGUAUCCUGAAAUUUUCUCAUGAUAUGGAAACACCAGUGUAGUAAAACAGGUAUAACUCUUAUUCUGUCAUUCCAAUAGAGUUGUAGCUUAUACUGUUACAAAACUUAUGAAAUUCCCUACAACUUUCAUGUAGAAGACCUCCUUAGAUUCUGUCUUUAAGCUUAGGUAAAACAGUCAAACUUAAUAUCCAUCCUGACAAUGUCUCAGCAAAGGUGCAGUAACUUCCAGAGGUUAUAUCUCGAGCUCCUUAACUCAUCUGGAGAUGAUCCUUAUAUUGUUGAAAAGCUUAUGAAAUCCUCUACAUCUUUCGUGUACAACUCUUUCCCAGAUUCUGAAGUUAAUUUAGCUGAAAGUAGGAAAUACCAGAUCUGUCCAGAUUUUGAAACAGAAAAGAAACAUCCAAGUUUAAAUGUCAUAUCUCCGGUUCUACUUGUACAAUAAAGUUCCAGCUUAUACCGUUGGAAAGCCUAGCAAAUUGUCUAAUAAUUUUCUAUAGAACACGUUUCCAAAUUCUAUAGUUACAUAUGUCUAAACAGUAAGCAACCGAAACUGGUCCAGAUUCUUGACAGCCCAUCUGUAUCAUCUUGUGAUUUUUGUAACUUCCAAAUCAUUCUAGCUAUGAGGGUGAUUCUUGCGGUCAGAGAAAGAUCUUGAAGUCUAGUUGUUCCUAGAAAAAUUUGAUAAACUUUGCAUGAUCAGAACUUGAGAUACACCAGCAUUAUGGCAGACUACUUGAGAAAUCAGCAAGGGAUAGAAACAAGAGAUACCCAAACCCAACUGCUUAUUUCAUUACUCCUUAUGCCUUAGACCUAUAAACUAAAAGAUAUUAUGGAGAAAUCCUACAACAUCAUCGCACUCAUUACAAAGAUCCAAAUCAAGCAUAAGCAUAAUAACAAAACAAUUAAGCAUUGAAGGUUCACACUUCACUCAACUUGCGAUACUAUCGUUCUCUUCAUAAUAAGGGUAAGGAUCCUAAGAUUCUCUUUCAACUACGUAAAGCAGGUGGUAAGAAAAGAUUCUAAUAGCAUACCAAAUCAAAGAGUGAAGGUGGGAACAAGUACUUUUAAAAUAAGCAACAAGGUAAGGAUGAAUAGCGAUGGAAAGGAUAUAGUGGAGAGAAAAAUAUCAAGGCUUACAAAACAAGGAUUUUAUAACAAUUUCAAAAUCUUAAGACGACCAAUUUCUAACUAGGCUUGCAUCCUACAGCCAGCAUUGCUUUGAUACCACUUUGUAAUACCCGAUUUUAAAGACAAAACCAGAUAUGCACCAUAUGCGAGUUUUAAAAGCCAAGUCUCACAUAUAGCUACAAAUAAGGGGUAAUAUCAAAAGACAAUGCAUAAAUUAUAUAACGUACUUAGUAUAAAAGAGAUAACCUUUGAUAAAAAACAGCGGAUAGACAACUCCAAACUUCGGGUAUUAACUUCACUCUACAGGAUCCAACUGACUGGUUGAUCACAAGCCCAAAACUUCUCUUGAGGUGUGGGGGAAAUUGCAAGAGUGAGCACAUAUCGUACUCAACAUGUAUAACCAGGGGUUCAUGAGGCUCAAAUAGCUGACACUGGUUUGACUGCAUGUAGCUUUUAUAUGUAGAUAGCAUAUUUAUCAUUGGAUAGCAAAUGUCAAGGUAGCAUAAUUAAAUCCCAUAACCACAUGAUCAAUGUAUACAAGAAUUAAGAAUAACACAUAUAAACAACAUAAUAAACCAUCCUUUAUUAUCAUUAAUCAUGUUCAUCAGUGUCCAUCUAUUCCGUCAGUUUUUCGGGCCGCCCGUAUCCGUGGGCACGGCUAGUAUACCAGAUUUAACACUCUGCAGAGGUUGUACAUCUUUACCCAUGAGUCAUGAUUUACCCUUUCGCCCGAGGCCCGUCGACCUCUUAGCUCACUUCCGAGGAAAGCCGGCAGGGUUCACUAUGAAGUCUUUCAAAGGUUCGUCUAACAAGUUAGGGCCGCAAGGUUUCCUUUGCGCGCAGAUAUAGAUACCCCCUUCCAAAUGGCACAAUGACGCGCAGCCUAUACACAUAAGGACAGGGGCUCGCACUAUACCCAAAACGGUUCAGCCCCUCCGCCCUUUCGGGUAACCUCUAACAAGCUAGAAAAGCUUACUCAUACUUGACUGAAGCCAGAGCCAUAUAGCCCUCAUGGUUGUACGAGUUGUCCCAGCUUUUGCCAAGGGAUAAGUCCUUAUGGAGGGUCAAGAUCAAUCCGGCAAAAGCCAGAGUUCUUUCCACCCUUUAUAUUCAAGUUGCUAGAAAGCUUAUUUUAUUGUUUAUUGUAUAUUCAAAUAUUCAUGUUACAAGAUCAUGGAUUAUAUUCAAGCACUAGCAAGAACUACCCAAAUGCAUAUCCAAAAUAGGCAACAAGGAAUUCAGGAUAACAAUCAUCUAUGAUUUUGCUAAGGUCAUCAAGGUGGACACAUGCAUAUGAUAAAUGUUAUAUUAAUUGUGUAUAGGAAACAAGGAUGAUCCCCAGUUAUACUUGCCUUGAUCAAAGCUCUCCUGAGCCUGCUACUGGUCGCCAAAAGCUUGACCUUGAUCACCAACGUAAAGCUCACCGACUAAACUCGAUCAUCAAUCAACAACACGCAAUCCAAUGUAGACAAUCAUACACGAAGCAAACAAGCUAUAAUUAGAACAAUACACCAAACAGUGGUAAAACAAAUAUAAAAGUUUAUCAAAAUAUUCUACGCAGCGCUACGAUCACAUAAACGUAAAGUUCGUGAAAAUCGGAGCUAAAAUGGAAAAGUUAUGAAUUUGCUAAGAUUUUAUGUAGAAAAGAAAUUAAUUAAUUAAAAUCACGAAAUUAAAAAGUUUGAAACUGAGUAAACAAUUUUACUAACAUGUAGAGCUCAUGAUUAUGAACCUAACGCAAUUUGAAUGGGUCAAAACGGAAUUAAAAUGAAUAUUUUAUGAUCAUUUUAAAUCUAGUGGCAAUUCUGUAAAUAGCAAAAACGUAAUUAGAACUGAGCCGAGAGAAAAUACGCUUUCAAAAUUGAGAAACGACUUUCCCAGAUGACGCCAAGGACCGCGGGUUGAGCAUUGAAUCUUCUAGGGGCUCUUUAAGAAAAAGACCAGCGAAGGGGUAUCUUCUAAUCUCGAUCGUUGAUCCACGAUCCAACAACUGAGAUUCGAUCUAGGGGGAGGGAGAGGGGAUGGCUGGCCGGAACAGAAACAACGGCGCGGUGGCGCCAUUGACGAGAGUCCUGCUCCUCGCCGGCGUUCGUGGAGAAGGCGCUAGGGACCAUGGUUUUCGAUGGGAAAAGAACCAGGGCGUAGAGGACCUCUGUGCGAACUCACCUAGGGGCUUCACGGGUCGGGGAGGAGCUCGGAAAAGGAUGUUCGACGCGCGGUGGCGCUCGGGUGCUCUGCAGACAGUUCGGCGAAGGUUUAAGAGCAAUAGAUCGCGCUAGAGAGUAAAAGGAAGGGCUCAGCAUCUUCUUCACCUCAACCCGAAGCUCGGCAAGUGGUUUUCGGUGCUCUGGACACAGCAGGUGGCGAAGCCCACGACGGCGACGAAUUCGUUCAUCGUUGAGAUCUGAACCGAGGCGAGAGAGCUGCUGGGGCGGCUUGACGUCGCGUUAAACAGAAGAGGGGGUCGAGAGGGAGGGCACGAGGCUUUAUUGGCCAGGAGAAGAUCUCCUAACGUGCGAAAUCCCGACCUGAGCGGGAUUCGGUUUCCACCGAGAGCCCGAGGUCGGUGUGGACUCGAGGGAGAAGAAAGGAACGGUGGGAGGGGAGACUGACACGCGGGCCCGGGAUGUCAGCGAACAGAGAGAGGAAGGGGAGGGAAGGGCGCGCGGCUGGGCUGUUGGGCCGAAGCAAGCUGGGCCGCGGGAAAAGAAGGAGGAGGCCUUCAGGCCGAUUUUCCAGGGAGAGGUGAGGGUUUCCUAUUAUUUUUUUCUUUUCUUUUCUUUAUUUCAAAGCUAUUUUCAAAUUCGUUUUAAAAUCACUUCGAAUUAUUUUUGAACUUUAAUAAAACCACUCAGCACAAUAAUUAAAAUGCAUAAGCUUGAGUGCACAAAAAUGUUGCUACACCCUAUGAUUGAUUUUAAUUGACUAAAAAUAUUAUUUUUCCUAUAUUUUCAUGAGCACAAAAUACAAAAUUAAAUCAUUUUUCUCCUAUUUAAAAAGUUGUAAAUUUUUGGGUGUUACACUUAGCUUGUGUAAUGCAAUCUCUUAUUGCCUGAUCUCUGAAUCUUUUGCUUAAAAUCAUGUCUCAACUCAAUCUCUGAUCGGUGUAGCAUUUUUACCUUUGGAGUUUGCUUAAUUCAUCUCCAACCUUCCCAAGUAUUGGGAUUCUUAUCGGCUUUGAUCUCAUGUUCCUACCCAACAUGACCGCAUCUCAUAAAUUCAUUGUUGGGUAAUGGCCUUGAUAGGCAUAAGGCGUAUCCAUUUCUGUAUUGUGCCGUGUUCUCAUCCUUUAACCUUCUACUUGUUACCUCCAAAUCUUGCUGUCAUCUUUACUUGCUUUAAUUUUAUCUUGCACAUGAUUCUUGUCCAUGCAAGACCUACCUAUGUCAUGUGAGAUUUCACAUUGGUUGUAAGAUCAAUAAUAUUGUCAUGAUUAACGAUUGGCGGUGCCGUGACGAAACCAAGAGCAUCCUGUGGCUAUAGACACAAGGUCGUGCUGCUCGGCACGCACUGGUAUCGUGGUUGCUAGUCAUGAUCUAUUAUAAAACUACACCACUGUGUUAUCUUCUCAUGGUCUUGUCCUUGGAUAUCUUUCCUUAUCUUCAAUCAAAGGUUCUAUAUCAGACUUAUGUAAUAGGACUUCCUUCUGAAGUUGCUAAGAAGAUAACCUUUGAAGAAUAGGUUACCGACAUAAAUCUUAAUAGACUGUAAGGGGUGGUGGACAAGAGACUCUAUUUGCUACCCAUGUAGCGAUAUCAGUCGUUUAGUGAGUAACUUGUGUCAUCCACUGUUGAAUCCAAAUGGCACACAACACUUAAAGUUGGACAAGUUAUCAGUCAGACAAGAAUUGAUCCAAAUCUUGAUCAUAGUGAUCACAUAGUCAUAAUCAACCAUCUCUAUUGUGAUCUCAUUUUUGGCUAACUUUGAUCUUGACUGCCUACAAAUGGAUCAACUACAAUUGUUGCCACCAAAGAAGAGAGUUUUGGAAAUUUUUAGUGUUCAGAGACAACUGAUUUGUUAUCAGUUAGAAGGUUAAUCACUACCUUGGAAACGACUCCAUGAUAUCCCUGAAGGCUACGUCUCAUAAAAUAGUGUCAUGCAAAGAAAACAAUAAGUUGAUCAACGAUGCAAAUACUAUUUCCUUCUCUAGGCCCUAUGUUGUCAAGUCAAUUCAAUCUUGGACAAUCACAUAGAAGGUACCAAAUGCUAUAUCUAAGUCACAAGCUAGAGAAAAGCACAUCCCUAGUCUCGGUUAGCAUCAUUAUAUGUGUGGUGCUAUCAAAGGUUUUGUUUUGUUUGGUUAGCCAUAUGGUGUUUGUUUGUACUAAAUUUUGGUUAAUCAUCAGAAGACUCUUGGAUCUAUAUACACACUAACAAUUCAUGCAUAAUGAGGCUAGUUUGUGUGGUAUGAACUGAACCAAGAUGAACCUUAGGAUAACCUAGAAAAUACUCCUUGCACCCUUGGACACCUAGCUGUUACCCUAUCACAUCAACCGACAGUUGAGCAAUCUAGGCGUUCUACAAGUCAAAAAUAACUGGAAAGGUGUUAAACAACAAAUCUUAUAUUUAUUAUCUUAGAGCUGUUGUUUGGUCCUAGUAAGGAAUCCUCAAUCUCAAAAGUAGUCUCACCAAGCUAUUCUACUACAAUGCAAGUCGACCCAGAACCUACUAAGUCAUUGCUUAAUGAAGGAAAAUUUUAGUUGACUUGCUUGAUAGUAGCUUGUUUCCCUAGUUCGGUGAAUACUAGCAACUUUUGUUGUCCUCUAGACCUUGCUAUCGCCCAUCUUUAACAAUGCCAAUUUAGUACUAACAUGCCUUGGGUAUCUUCUAUGUUCCUUUUACCCAAGAGGUUGUAUUUGAUACAACCUAGGUAACUGUUAACCCUUGGAGUCAUGAAAUUCCUUGAAUGGUGAGCAUUGACUUGAUAGACUCAGAUAAUACAGUGUUGUUAUCAGAGAAAGAGAACUGCACACAUGGAACCUUAUGUAGCUUUCCAUUGACUGGCAUCUGAAUGAUUAGACCUUAUGACCAAAAUAAACAUUGUUUAUCGGUUAGCUGGUUUCUCAUAACCUCAAAGGAUGUUUAUCUAGUUCAUGAUCUCAUCCCCUACGAAAGGUUGUACUCAAGCCAUUCUGGUAGAGGACUGCUUUUUGAGCCUUAUGAACAUAGAUGGAAACAUUGUAAUGAGUAGUUUACUAUGCUCCAAACCAUCCAUCAUACAUUGGGAAUGAAGUACAUGUGAUAGUGAUGUCUUGAAUUCCUCCCAAAGUAACAAUGCUUCAUGGAAGUCAAUGGAGGAAAUUCUUUAGACAAAAAUUCACUACGAAGAACAAGUAUCAGAAAGUGUCCUGACCAAAUUAGCCUCUCUGAUGCUCGAGGAUAAGUAGUUGACUGCUAUCGCCAAUGUUAGAAGUGAAUAACAUGCUUCUCUACCCUUGGAAGUCUUUCGCCCUAAAUCUCGGGACAAGAUUCUUUUAAGGGGGAGGGUAGUAACACCCUAGGUGUUUGCCACUAGUUAGACCUUAGGUUUGAGCUCAAACAUAUCAUGAUAAGUGGUGAUGAUCAUGUUAAAGUCAAUCAAUGAAAGUGAGCCUCAAGUUUAACUUGGAGAAUGCACCAUUGCUUACAUAUCGGCCCUUUUCAAAGUGCAUGCUUGGGUGACAUUAAUGGAACCUCUUUCAUGUGUCCCACAUCUAUCACUGCCUAUAGUGAUCACUCAAAAAGUUUCAUAAAGUUCGAAAUCAAAAGGUCACAUGAAAUGAUAAGUUACAUACUUGUUGGAAUGACCUCAUUAAGUGAAUGGAACCAUGGGUCAUCAACCAAUAUUUGCAACCUUUCCCAAAUGACUCUAGAUGAACUCUACAACAAAAGUCAUGAAGGGUUCAUGUUGAGCUUGUGCCCAGAAAAUACUUCAAGUGGCCUAAAACCUUAAUUCAUGCUUUAUCAAGUUGCUGCUUUGACCAAAGUGCAAGUUUGAUUUCUAUACUAGUUCUGAGAUUUGACCUUAAAUAAAAGUUGUAUUUUUAGCUUCUGUAGAACAAACAUUGUUUAAUGGUCAAGAGCUAGUUUGGUCCCUAACCUAGACAAAUUGAGCUUACAAGAUUCAAUGCAGUGCUGUUUUGGAACACCAGAAUUUUGGCCAAGUCCUCAAGGUGUUUAGUUUUGGGUAUCCAUGUUGGGAGCUUUGUAUCUUCCAGUCCAGGCCAAAAUGGUAUAAGGUUCUUUAAUAAAAGUUGUAGCAUAGUUUGUAUGCUACAAACUUUGUUAAAGUGCCUAAGUCCGAAUCAUCAUCUAAGCAUAUCAAUUAAUGGUCAUAAUAUUGAAUCUGCUAUAGUUUUCAGCACUUCGAAUUUCUAAGUCUAGGUUUGCAGUUCAUUUCGUAGGCAUCCCGCGUUCUCCUAAUUCUUUUAAACAACUUGCUUGGGUCGCAGAAUAAAAGUUGGAGUACAUAUUGUGGACAAGAGCAUACCGAAAGAUGACACUAGUUCGACUUUUUUUGUCAUCAAUUUCGAGUUUCGCCAAUCACCAUCAAUAUGUUAACACUAGUGGUUUGGCAUCAUGUUAUCUCUUAAUCGGUUACUCUAAUGGCUUUAUACUCUGAAUCAAAGUUGCAGAACAGGCCGAGCUUGGCAUACUUUGGCCCAUGUCCAAAUUCAGCCUGGAAGAAGCCCAAAAUUGACUCCCACCAUGGCUACCCCGGCGCGCACCACCUGCUCGACGAAAUGCUUCAAGAGGUGACACGCGUCCUGGACGUAGCAUUCAUGCAGAGUUCGCGUCCCCACCAUUGCUACAGCGUGCCACUGCCUUCUACUCGCGAUGGGGACACACCAAGCCGUUCCCAGACGGUCCCCACUCCUCCUGCUCGCCCUCACUCCCUUCUCCUCGCUCUCCGCCGCGGGAACGCCGCCGCGUCCGCCGUGGCCGACGGUAUGAGCUCGCACCUGCCGCAAUGCUCGCUGCUCCGCGCCUCCUCAGCCCAAGCUAAGUACCUCAGUGCCUCUGCCGUCUCCUCCUGACUGCACUGAGCUCCAUUUCCGGCCCCAACCAUCGCUGGAGCACCGCCACCGUCGAGAGCAGACCGCCGCCGCCUCCUCCUGCCGUGGCUAGGCCGCCACGGGCCCUCUCCUGGCCAUCCAAGACCACCAGCAAGUGUGCGCUAGCCUACUGGUGCUCCCCCACCACUCCAUCACCGCCGACGAGGCUCCGACUAGCCGGAACACGAAGCUCCAGCGAGUCCUGUGUUUUCGUGCGACCAGGGACCUCGGGAUCGAAUUUGACUAAAGCCAGGGGUUUUUUGCAGAACUCAUGACCCAGAUGAAUAGUGCUUUGAGGACCUAUUUGUUUUGGAGAAAUGCUGUAACUUUGAAAAUCCAUAUAAAAUCAUAGCAAAAUCGUAAAUUAACAAAUGUAGACUUUUUAGAAUCCAUAUGAAAUUCUCUAUGCAGUAGAUCUAUAAUAUACCAUGUUUUAGUUUAAAGUUUUAGCUGUAGAAAAGGUUUUUAAUACUAGUUGAGAUUGUCUUUUUUAUAACUGCUGCUGUAGAGCUCCAAAUGAAGUGAAAUUUAUGUGGCCUGCUAUUCUUGUGAUGUUUGAUGCAUGCUGAAAGUUUCAUGAUUUUUGGUUGCAGUGUGGUUGAGUUAUUGAUUUAACUUGCAUAGGGCUUGAUAAAGGGUUUAUUAUUAUAAUUAAAAAUGUAAAAAUGGAAAAGGUUGUUCUAGUACAAUCCUAUGAUAUCAUUGUAUCAUAUUAAUAUAUAAUAUGGUCAAGUGUUUGAAGAAAAUAUGGUUUGUGCAUUUAUCUUGCUCUCACAUGGUUAAUUCUAAUAGCAAUUUGUCUUUUUCAUAGAUGUUGCUAUGUUUAUUCAAAUGUAAUGAAAUUUGGGCAGUAGACUAUGGAUAGUAUGUAGAAGCUACUAUAAGUUUGGUCGAAUUUAGUGAGCACUUUUGUUAUAUGUUCUUUAAUUCACCUUAUUAUCCAAAUAAAUUAAGAAAGGAAUUAAAUAAAUUUAUUUGGUAAUGACCACUAUGUUUUCUGGUGUUCUUUAGAUAUAUGCCAACUGUUGCUAACAAUGGUUUUGCUCAAAUCCAUGUUUGAAACAUAAGUUAAUAAUUAAUUGUGUGCAAUUGUUGUUUCUGGACAGUUUCUGGAACUGUUUGGAUUACAAUAUGUAAAUGACUUUUUCUGGGAAUCUUGUUCAUAGCAAAGUUGUAGAUAAUUUAUUUAUCUAGCUGCUUUUAAAAUUUGGUAGUAUUUGGCCUUGUGGUUUGUGAGUUAUGUCUAUUCAAAGUUUGAUUCCAGAAAUGGCUGCUCUCUGUUUGUCAGGGACAGAUACUGGAACUUUAUAAUUUCGACCAGCUUCAGUUAAGAAUCAUGCUUUUAUGUAUAAAUAUCAAAUGUAGAUAAUAUCUUAAGAUUUCCAGAAUGUCUUCUUACAUAUAUUUUGGAGUUGUGUAACUCUAGUUAUGAUUUAUUUUCUCAGCUGCUGUUAACAGUCCUAAAAAUUACAGAUUCCUUGUAUUGUUGUUGCUUGGUAUAUUGCUAUGUAUGACUCAUGUCUUUGAUAAUGGCCAAGUUAAUACACCUGAGUGUUGACACUAGCUAACACCACUUAGAUACUAGGUUGUCAUCCCUAGCAUGGCGCCAGAGUGUACAAAGGUAUUUAUAAAUGUAAAGGCUCUCUAGAAAAUAAUCUAUUCUAUCCGCAAGCGCACAGAUAAAACACCUCAUUGUAGCAUUUCACCAGGAUAAGUAUUUCAGGUAUCGUUAUUUAUAAUUUUGCUCAAGGGAUCUAAAGAAGAUGAAAUUAAAUCAUAAAGAAUUAUAAGUUCAUGGGUAGAUAACACAGCGAUUAGAAAAUAGACUACUCCUCAUAUAUGUAGGUGAUGUCAGAUUAGCUAGAGAAUGGAUUCUAAGUUAUCUACUAACUACUAAGUCAUAAUCUACUCUAGUUAUCUACAAGAUCAUAUAUAGCAUAAAAGACUCUUCAUUCAUGUAUAAGGAACAUUGAUAAAGUAAAUCAGAGCAUCGCAUGACUUACUCCACAAUACCGGUUCUGCCUGUCCUAUCAACGGAGGGUGGACUAUAUAUGAAUCAACGAAGCUGUCACUAUCGCGAACUACCACACGACCCGGCCAAUAGGAUACAUUUGCAGAUAAAUAACAUCUAAGCACCACGCUCACAUGUGAUCUAUCACCUAACUCCCUCGCGUCAAGAGCUAAGCGCUUUGCAAACUUAUACAUAAACUCAUUAUCAAUUAGAACUAUAUCAAAUAUAGAACUAGAGCAAACUAAGAACAUAAUAAUUAGAGACAUAAUGCAAUUAGAACAAUAGAAUUAGAUAAAGAUAUGAAUAAUACCAAUCUUUAUUACCGAAGAUCCGAAUCCAGAGCGUAGUGCUCUACUUCUCUAAUUGCUAUCUAAUCAACCUCUAAACUUGAAGGAUUAGGGAGUAGCUAAUUCUAAUUCUCUGUGGGAGAGGUGUUCUAAACCCUAACUUUGAUGGCUACCUCUGAAUAAUGAUUUCUCCUCUCUCCUCCAGGGGCCAGUCUGGUUUUAUAGUCCCCUCAAGUAAACGUGAGCCAUUGGAUCAAACCGACAUAGAUUGUAUGGUUUAGAUUGAUCCUUUAGGUCGGUGGAGCGUAGUCCCGAAGUAGAGUCCCGAUCCAACUUCAACCCUAGGUGGGCGCCCAAGGGGGGUGGGCGGCCGCCCUGCCCCCGAGCCCGAUCGUGCUCUCGUUCGUUCCCGUGGCUUCUGGACUCUUCUAGAUUGAGGAAAAUUGCGCGGCACGUAAUUAUCUCGUUGUAAACAUGACAUGUGGGCCUUCUCUCCAUAUUCUCUGAUAACCCCCUGCAGAAAUAGAUAAACACCAAAACUCGUGGAAUUCUGUCAGAUAAAACCCUAAUUCUAGAUGUUUGUUUCAUAUUGAUCCUUUUUCAUUUUUAUUUGAUUAUUAAUUUUAGUACUUAAGGACCGUCAACAAACUCCCCCAAGCUUACCCUUUGCUCGUCCCUGAGCAAACAGCUAAACUCAGACGGAUCAGGAGUUGCUUCGAUGUUUUCUUUCCUGACAGGUACACAUGCUUUUAAAUAAAAUUCUUCCAGAUUAGAGUGAAGUGUUAUGGAGUUUAGAACCUGCACUUAAGUCUUAAGUAAUCGAAAUACAAAAUAGUUAAGUCAAGCACUAUCCCUCCUGUUUAUACUUCACCUUUGUUCCAGAGUUUUUUAUAAGUUUUCAAAAUAAAACUCAGAGUUCCCAGCAAUGAUUCUCUCAAGUCUCUAUAUAUGUGGUAUUUGUGGAUCCUUACCAUAAUGUCACUUACCUAUAGCUAAUGGAAUAUUUAAGUGGAGCUUAUAGGAGUGAAAAACAGCUCAUACAUAUAUUGUCUAAUCGAGCCAUGGAUCCAAAGGAACUCAGCAUAUAAUUAAAUCAAGAUGUGCAUGUGUGGUGGAGUAAAUGAUAGUGAUGGUGAAAAUGUAUAAGUGUUAAUAAAACUUAGUUCUCAUUGCUCCUCAUAUUGCUACCUCUUCUCUUCUUUGAUCUUUGCUUUUGGAAAACAUGGGCUAUCUUUUCUUUCUUUUUUCUCUUUUUUUUUCAGGUGGGUAGUAGAUACCCCUAAUUCUACUGUCGGACACUUGUCCAUUUUUUCCGCUCAAGUGGGCAUCUUUGUACCCCUAAUUCUACUUCGGACACUUGUCCAUUUUUACCUCUCGUCUCACUCUUUUUCUUUCUUUAUCGAGGUUCCGGGCACUUGCCCCUUUUUAUUUCCUCGCAUAUUUUUGCAUAACCCAUGCCUCUUCUGCAUUGAAUCUUUUUAGAGAGAGAGAAUAACAAUAUUCGGGACAGUGAGUGAAAAUAUUUUUAGCAAUUUUAAUGAAUGGUGAUGGAUGGUGUAGUAGAUGUGUGCAAGUGAAUAUCUUAAUUUAACCACAUGAAAAGCUCCUAAGGGUCUACACAGCUCGAUCAAACUCAAUGUAAAUAUAGUAAAAGAUGUUAUAGCAUGUAUGGUUGUGGUAGGUAGUUUGCAAUGCUAGGAACUCAUCAUGUGAUUUGUAAUUUUUCAAAAUAAAUCUCCAGAACUUAGUGUAGUAGGAACAAGAUAAACAGUAGCUCAACUUUAUAUCAUGCCUUUCUCUUACCUAGACUUUAGUUUUAUGCUUCCAAAGAUAGUAAUUUCAGUUUUAGUAAUUCCUGGAAGAUCUCUAAUAUAAAAGCUAGGUACUUGUAAGUAAGCAAACAGAGCAACUUGUUCAUCAUUUCCAUCAUGCAUCUUUUUGGUCUUUUUAUUUUUCUAGAGAUUAAACUUAGCAGGAAAAUAAAGCACACUUAUCUACACACUCUUUUUAUUUUGUUUUCAUGUUUAUUAAAGUGCAGUGAAUUAAAGCAAGAAAAUAUUUAUUUGGUUUUCUAAGUUUUUCCUUUUAAGAUAAAUUAAAUACUAAGACAGAAUAGAAUAAAUAAGAAGAGCAAAUAAAAACUUACUUGAUAAAUUUGAGAGGAACUCCCCCAAGCUGGAUGUUGCCGUCGGUCUUACCCGAUGUUCCAGAACCGCAUCAUGGUUGUAAUGUUGUCGUUCAUUGUUGUUGUAUCUUGUCUUAGGUCUUCUACUGCAGCUGCAUGGUCUUGGUUCCAUUUUUGUUGUUCUUCCAGGAGUCUUCCAUGUUCUGCUUGCGUGUUCUGGAUGUCGAGGAGGGUGUUGUCGGUGCGAGUGAAGAAAGCACCGGCCUCUUGAUAGUAGUCAUUCGUGAAAGCGUAGGAGGCGUCGGAGUAUCGUCCUGCAUCAAAUUGGGGCGGAGGUCUCGAUCCUGAAGCUCCGUAUGGAUCAGUCGAGUACCUCCCCGUAUGGAAAGGCGGGUUUGUCCACUGGUGAUCUUGGCUCUCCGGCCAUGUCUCCUCUGUUGGCUCUUGUGGUUGCGCAUGUCGAGCCCAUGGGUCUCGAAGGACUCGAGGGUUGUAAUCGCAAUAAUGCAGGUGCGCUGCUUCUUCUGGUCCAGGGUUAGCUCCAUACCAGGUGCGUUCUCGGUGAGUGGUUAUCCUUUCGGAAGCCACUCGCUGUGGAGUUCUCUGGUUCACUGGUGUUGCUGCAAUGUCAAUCAAAAAGUUUUGCACAACGUAGAGGCCAAGGUUUGGGUUAGGUAACCGAAUCUUGCCUUUAUCAUCAUAUAGCAUAUACAUUAUAUUUCCCUCUUUCUUUAACAUCCGAGCUUGUCUAAAUGUGUCAUAGCCAUGAUAAAUUCUUAAUUCUUCUAUGAAAUCCAACGAUGAGUUUUCUAGUAAGUGAAGAUUAGAAGCUAGACGAGUGAUAAGUGAAGUACAUCCUACUGGUCCCUGAAGACUAGGUAUACUAAGGCAAUGUGAAACUAAUAGUGUAACAGGUGAAGUGGGUACUUUACUAAUAGCAGCAUAUAAAAGUUGUAAAUCUCCUACUCUUACUUUCCUAAUAUCAUCACGAUAGAAAAGAUUGUACCCAAGCCAUUUGUGGAACAUCCUAAGAGUGGGGUGUUCCAUGUCACUGGUUCGGGCUUGACUGUAAAAAUUAUCUCUAGAUAUUUCUCUCUAAAAUUGGUGUCUCUCAAAAUUGGGUAAAUCGGAGUCAAUGUUCAGGAUGCAUCUUGAAGAGAAACCAAGAUGGUCGCUUAGCUCUCUCCAAGACAACAUAAUUUCCUCUUUGAACAUCCGAAAAACAAUUCCCCCCUCAUAGUAUUGUAAAGUGCAAAGAAAUUCGAGGGUGAGAAGACGAGAACCUAGCUCAGUUAUAUUCCAAAAAUUUAUCCAACCUAACAUCUGGAAAAUUAAGUCAAAUUCAGUGUCCAUACCUGUUUCUUGUAGUAAGAUUGGAUCGAUAGUAGGGGUGUGAAUGAAAUCUUUGUUCUUCAGUUGCUGAUAGACUUCCUUCUCUCUUCGAGUCUUCAGUCCAAGGUCUCCUAUCUUGAGAAGGACCUUAACUUGCUGACCUGAUGAAGAUGAUGGAGCUUGUGUGGGUGUCGGGUCGACGCUCAUCUCUGAUGGCUGUGAGGAGUGUCGAGCUGAACUCCUUGUACCAAUGUUCUUGAGAGCUUUUCCUGCAUCCUUCACCUUCUUAAACAUCCUGCAAACAAAAGUUGGCAAAAACAACUUUUACUUCUGCUUAGACAACGGGAUCACUGCUUGGUAAGUGAUACUCACUCUCUAUCAACUUCUUUCCCACUCUUCUCUUUCUUUCUACUCUCUUCUCUCUUCACUACAAGAGCUCUUUUUGGAAACUGAUACUUGUGUGGUUUUCUGGAGUGCUUGUGUGAAGAAGAUGGAGGUAGAAGGUGGCUAUUUAUAGGAGGAAGAGGGAGCAGGGCGGGCGCCCUAGGUAGGUGGGCGGGCGCCCACUCCUGGUGUCCAUCCUGGGUAUGCCUCUUCCACUUGCUUCCUUGCUUUGAUCUUACGCAGAAUAAUGUUGUGUGGUGGUAAGAUGUCUGGUGAGUGGAAACAUAUUGGUGGAUGAAAUAAUGUGAUGGGAUGUAUGUGAGGUGUGGUGUAUGACAUGUGGGACCCAAGGAGUGUGGGUCAUGCUUCUAGAAGGUUACGAUUAUUAAAUAUAAUGCAGGAAAAUCUAUGACAAUUGAAACUUAAUUAAAAUGAUAAUGGAAAAUAUUUUUGUGCCUCCACAAUAAUUAAUAAAUAUGGGUUGUUACACACCAUGAAUAUUAUUUAUAUGGGGCUUUUCAUUAUUAUAAUAAUGCUAUGAAUAAAUAUGACUAAUGCAAGAAUUAAUUAUGCAAGAAUUUAAAUAUGAGAAAAUUAAUAAUGCGGAUAAUUACCGAUUUACCUCCCGGUGAGGGUUUGGGAUUUUUAGGUCCCCCAAGCUGGACCUCCAAAUCUUUUAAUCUUCUGAGUUACCUUCCUCUAGAGAUAGUGUCUCCAGUGGUUCUUCAUGAACUUCCUUCACUGUAGAGUCUCUCUCUGGUCUGGGUUUGAAUGUGAAGUGUUCUUCUUGACCGUUUAUGUUGAACUUGAUUUCUCCCUUCCCGACAUCAAUGUGAGCAUUGGCAGUGCUCAGAAAUGGCCUUCCAAGGAUGAUGGACACUUUUGAGUCAGGACUCAUGUCCAGUACUACGAAGUCUACCAGCACAAGGAAAUCUCUGAUCUUGACUGGAAUGUUCUCGGCGAUACCCAGCGGGUGUCGAACCGAUUGAUCCGCUAGUUGUAGACACAUUGAUGUUGGUUCUAAGGUUGCAUGAUCAAGCUUUUUGUAGACUGAUGCUGGCAUCACACUGACACUUGCUCCGAGAUCACAAAGUGCAUUGUUGAAGUGUUGGUUUUCGAUCGAGCAAUCAAUAGUGGGACAUCCAGGAUCUUCCUUCUUCUUUGGUGGUUUAUUGAGGAUGGCCGCACUACAUUCUUCUGUCAGCUUGAUAACCUCAGUGGUGGGCAGUGGCCUCUUCUUGUUAAGAAUAUCUCUGUUGUACUUUGCAUAUGUAGGUACCUGUAUGGCAUCGAGCAGAGGUAUGUUGACAUAUAAUUUCUGAAUGACCUCUACAAACUUACCAAACUGCUCAUCCGACUGCAGUCCUCUGUUUCUUCUAGGAAAUGGCAAAUAGUUGGUGUCAUAAAAAUCUUUCCUCAUUUCUCCAGUUCUUGGUGGUUGUGGCAGAUCUUCUGCUCCAACUGGGCUUUCUUCUUCUAUCACUGCUGGUUGCACUGGUGCUGAUGUUCCUUGUUUCUCUUUUGGGUAUGGUGGAUCUCUGGUAGCUUUGCCUCCUCUAGUAGUUAUAUUCUUCACCUUUGCUAUUGGGUUGACUCGAAGUUGGUUGAUAUUUGUAUGCUGUCUCAAUGGCCCUUUGAUCUUCUUUAAACUUGGCCCUCUGGUCAAUCCAAUGGAGCAAAUUUUCCAUCUUAGUUGAUAAUGCAUUUACUUCUUCUAGUAUUUCUUCAGUUUGAUGACAAUGUUGAGCUUUAUCUUGGAACCAGCUUUGGUUUUCUGCUAUCUUAUCCAAAAGUAUCUCUGCUUUUCCAGUUGUAAGCUCCAAGAAUGAUCCUUUAGCAGAUGCAUCUAGGCACUCACGAGCCUUCUGGGUUAAUCCAUGGUAGAAGGUCUGCAUAAGUAACCAUGUGGCUAUUCCAUGUUGAGGACAAUCUGAUAUUUAUCCUUGAAAACGCUCCCAUGCUUCUGAAAUGGCUUCUGUCUUCUGCUGUUGGAAACUGAUAAUAUUUCCUCUUAAGGCAGUUGUUUUUCCUAUAGAGAAAAACUUUGAUAGAAAGGCAUCUGACAAGUUCGUCCAGUUGUUGAUGUUAUCUUGAUGAGUGUAGAACCACUUCCUCGCUUUUCCUUCUAGUGAGAAUGGAAAAAGACGAAGUAGUAUGACGUCUUUGUCAACUCCGUUGAUGUGGAUUGUGCUUCCAAUCUCUAAGAAAUUCUGCAAGUGUGCACUAGCAUCUUCAUGUGUCUUUCCACUGAAUUGUGUAGCUUGCACCAAAUUGAUGAGGCUUGACUUGAGCUCAAACUCGGGUAUUCCUUCUUCUACUGCAAAUCUUGGACUCGUUGGAAUGUUGUCAAGACUUGGAGCAGAGAAUUCUUGCAAGGUCUUUUGUGCCAUAGCUUCAGCAAUUGCUAGCUAGCUUCUUCUUCUCUUGAUUGCUUUGGUUCUGAUGACGAAGAGUUGAAUGUACCCAAAGUCAAUCCUGUUAUACCCUGUAUAAAAAUAUAAACAUAGAAAGACAACAGGGUGAACCUGCCAAAGCAGAGGUGCCUUGUUAUGAUUUCUCACUUAGUAGCUGUUUUUAUGCAAUUAUUUCUCUAUAGUGUAGUCUAAUAUUUUAUAUGAAUAACCUUGACUGAUUUUCUGGCUUUCCUAGGCAUUACCCUUUUGUUCCCUUUUAUGACUUAUUCCUGAGACUCGUAUAAAUUCCUAUAAGUUCCCCGGCAACGGCGCCAGAAAUGCUUGUUGACACUAGCUAACACCACUUAGAUACUAGGUUGUCAUCCCUAGCAUGGCGCCAGAGUGUACAAAGGUAUUUAUAAAUGUAAAGGCUCUCUAGAAAAUAAUCUAUUCUAUCCGCAAGCGCAUAGAUAAAACACCUCAUUGUAGCAUUUCACCAGGAUAAGUAUUCCAGGUAUCGUUAUUUAUAAUUUUGCUCAAGGGAUCUAAAGAAGAUGAAAUUAAAUCAAGGGGCAAAAUCUAUCAAGGCAUAGACUAGAGAUAAACUUGCAAGAACAUGAUUACUAAUGAGAAACUCGUCACACAGUCACAUACUUUAGCAGGGGGUAAACCAUAAAGAUAAUGAUAAUGAAUUAUAAGUUCAUGGGUAGAUAACACAGCGAUUAGAAAAUAGACUACUCCUCAUAUAUGUAGGUGAUGUCGGAUUAGCUAGAGAAUGGAUUCUAAGUUAUCUACUAACUGCUAAGUCAUAAUCUACUCUAGUUAUCUACAAGAUCAUAUAUAGCAUAAAAGACUCUUCAUUCAUGUAUAAGGAACAUUGAUAAAGUAAAUCAGAGCAUCGCAUGACUUACUCCACAAUACCGGUUCUGCCUGUCCUAUCAACGGAGGGUGGACUAUAUAAGAAUCAACGAAGCUGUCACUAUCGCGAACUACCACACGACCCGGCCAAUAGGAUACAUUUGCAGAUAAAUAACAUCUAAGCACCAUGCUCACAUGUGAUCUAUCACCUAACUCCCUCGUGUCAAGAGCUAAGCGCUUUGCAAACUUAUACAUAAACUCAUUAUCAAUUAGAACUAUAUCAAAUAUAGAACUAGAGCAAACUAAGAACAUAAUAAUUAGAGACAUAAUGCAAUUAGAACAAUAGAAUUAGAGAAAGAUAUGAAUAAUACCAAUCUUUAUUACCGAAGAUCCGAAUCCAGAGCGUAGUGCUCUAUUUCUCUAAUUGCUAUCUAAUCAACCUCUAAACUUGAAGGAUUUGGGUGUAGCUAAUUCUAAUUCUCUGUGGGAGAGAAGUUCUAAACCCUAAAGUGAAUAAUGAUUUAUUUGAAUAAUGAUUUCUCCUCUCUCCUCUAGGGGCCAGGGGGUCUGGUUUUAUAGUCCCCUCAAGUGAACGUGAGCCAUUGGAUCAAACCGACAUAGAUUGUAUGGUUUAGAUUGAUCCUUUAGGUCGGUGGAGCGUAGUCCCGAAGCAGAGUCCCGAUCCAACUCCAACCCUGGGCGGGCGCCCAAGGGGGGAGGGCGGCCGCCCUGCCCCCGAGCCCGAUCGUGCUCUCGUUCGUUCCCGUGGCUUCUGGACUCUUCUAGAUUGAGGAAAAUUGCGCGGCACGUAAUUAUCUCGUUGUAAACAUGACAUAUUCUCUGAUAACCCCCUGUAGAAAUAGAUAAACACCAAAACUCGUGGAAUUCUGUCAGAUAAAACCCUAAUUCUAGAUGUUUGUUUCAUAUUGAUCCUUUUUCAUGUUUAUUUGAAUAUUAAUUUUAGUACUUAAGGACCGUCAACACUGAGAUCUUGUGAAACAUGUAUGCCAUGCCUGAUAUACUUGGUUGCAUCUAUUUCUAUCUUAGUACGUUGAUUGUGUUAUGUUACUUAAGCAACAUGAAACACACAUGUAUGUGUAGAGUAACAUGAUACUUGUCUGCUUACUGUAUAUCAUGCAUUGUCUAUUGCACUUCUAUGUGUUCAUACACUUGCAUCUUGCAUCUCAUUUAGGUAUGCUAGAUGAACCACGUGAAGGACAUGAUGGUGGAUCUAUCGGAAUGAUGGAAGGACUACACAAGUGUUGCGAACUUGGAUGUCGUCAAGAUGAAGCAAGAUAACUUAACUGACUUGUGUCAGAUUCCAGGCAAGCCCCAGAGCAUUCUAAGUCUCCUACCCUCUCUUUUUAUAAAAGCACAAGAGUAUACCUUUAUAUGUUGCAUUAGGUGAUAGGAGUUGAAUGAAACCGUUGGUGCAUAUUUCCUACCUUGUCCACUAUAUGUAACUACCUGAACCCUUACUAGUAUAAGGAAGACGUUCUAUGCAUAGCUAUGCUUAGCUCGGUAGAAGCCAGGUGAUUUCCUGUCACCUGCGAGAGAUAGGUGGAUACCUGAUCACAGUUGGUUAUAUUUGCUAUCGUAGAAAUAACCAUGUGUAAUAAUGAAUGGAGACCGGGCGGGAUGACGAUGUGAAACAACAAGGCAUGGAGGUCUUGGGUGUGGAUCUAUCCCUGUCUAUGUCGUUUAAGGACCGAUACGCUGUACAUCCUCUCAUCAUGUUGCACGCAUGCCUAACACUUAGUUGGCCAGAUAAGUCGUUCCGACCGUGAAGGCUAUGAGUGCAAAUCCGGCCGGAUACCCCAUUCGGUUUAUGUGCGCACCUAAAAGCCCAAGUUUGGUUUUGGUAAUUAAUGACACCAAGUUGCUAACGCCUUGUAUUUAAGUGAUUUGAGUUAGGCAUAGCAACACAUGUGAUGAAGGUGCAUGGUGGCAUGGAAAGGUGGCCACAUGAUUACAAAGAGAUGAAGCAUGAAGUGGGGAUCAUGGUGAUAUACAAGGAGUAAAGUGAACAAGGCAAAGGUAUAAACAUAGGGUUUUGCUUUUGCCGGUCUAAGUUGAGUAGAGAAGUGUGUGACCGGGUUUAGGAUAGAUAGCCGACUAUCAAGAGGGGAAAUCACGGUCAUCUCUUGAAUCAAGUGCUACUAGGUCCAUAUCUUGAGCAUAUGCAUUAGGAUCUAGUAAAGUGCUAACUUAACUCCUUUGGUGAAAAUGUUUGUGAAAAGCUAACACACAUGCACUUUGGUGGUGGACUCUAGUUGGUGUUAGCACUCAUUGUCGGUGCUUUUUGAGAAAAUUAAGUGUAUAUUUUCUAUUGCGCCAGUGGAAAAUUUGGAGAAGUCACGGGGGAGAAACACUCACCGGACGCUGGCCUUGGAGGAACCGAACGCAGAGGCUGUGCGUCCGGUGUGCAGUAGUGCUUGGCUCUGCUAGGGUAAGGCAUCGGACGCUAGGCAUCAGACGCAGGAGAGAUCCUGUUGACACGUCCGGUGUGACUUGACUUCAGCUGGUGUGUUUGGUUGGUAGCACCGGACGCUUAGAGCGCGUCCGGUGAGGAGUGUCCGAUGCUCUGCACUUCUGCAAUGCUCUCUGGGUUUUAGACUAGUGAGCACCGGACGGUCCAGUGCUCAGCGUCCGGUGACCCUGCAAGUUUGCAGACUUCUCUGUGUUUAUGACCGGUGUGCACCAGAAGUGUCCGGUGCCAACUUAGUCGCGUCCGGUGGUCCGCAGGUGACCGUUAAAGUUUGAUGCGUGAGUUUCAAAGGAGGACACAUGGCCAACCCCUGAGCACCGGACGCUAGAGGUCGAGCGUCCGGUGAUCACUUGGUAGCGUCUGGUGCCCCCGUUUUCAGCCCAAUCAAUGUAGCCAACGGCUAUUUCCUUGAGGGGCUUAUAAAUAGGAGGUGGCCGGCUUUAGGAGGUCAACUCUUGCACAUUUGAAUACUUGAGGCAUACUUUGAGCUAGAGAACACUCCUUCCACUCAUCUCCUUGCUUGUUUGCUAAUCCUAUUGAGAUUGAGUGAGAUUCAAGUGCAUUGCUUUGAGAGUUGCAAUUAGUGGCACUUGAUUCUUGAGUUUGCUGCGGUUUUCUUGUUACUCUUGGGUGUUUCCCGAUGCCCUAGACGGCUUGGAGCAGCGGUGGUGUUGAGCUCAUGAUUGGAGAUUGUUUCGAGCCUCCCCAAGUGAUUUAUGAGGGGUUCUUGAGCCUUCCCCAUGGGAGAUCGCAAUUGGCUACUCUAGUGGAUUGCUCGUGGCUUGGAGGAUCCCCAUCUUGUGAGUGGAUGUGUGGCACCCGCUGAGGGUUUGGCUUUGGAUUGCCAAUUAGCUCGUGAUCCAUCAAGUGGGUGUAUCGCCACAACGAGGACUAGCUUGCCGAGAAGCAAAUGAACCUUGGUAAAAAUAUUGUGUCAUCUCUUGCCGAGGAUUCUCUUGUAAUUGUGAUUAAUUGAUUGGUUGUAUUUCUACUCUACAACGUUGGUAUAACAAUCACUCCCCUCUCCUUUCCUUAUGUGCAUACCUUGCUAGUUGUGUAGCUUGUUUAGCUUAGCUUUCUUGUUGUAACUAGUGUUUAGCUUUCUUUCUAGACUUGUCUAGGUGGCUUGCAUAGCUUAGUUGUGCUAGUGCUAGAAUAGCUUUGCCUUUUGUUUUACUAAUCAACUUUUCUAGUUGAAGUUUGUAGAAAAUUUAAAUAGGCUAUUCACCCACCCUCUAGCCAUUUGGACCUUUAUGCACCCCGGUUGGUAGCAAGGAUGUGCGGGGAGUCAAUGGCGUAAGACCGAGGUGUCAGGUUAGAGUCCUGACCGUGGCAGAUUGGCAGUCUGAAAGAGCAUCUAGGCCCCUAGUGAUUUUGGUGAUUAAUGACAAUGUUGAUUACUAUGACUAACGUGUGUUUUGCAGAGGCAAAGUCAUAGGUAUAGUCAUGGUAAUAGGUACUCAAUGGACAGGGACGUACAUGCCUACUUCAUAGUGGAAAUCGUUUCGGUUUUCAAAGGAUGGAUGGACAUCGUCAAGACUAGACUAGGUCUAAGUGCCAUAUGGUGAAGAAGGGCAAUUAGAGUAGUUUAGGACUUUGUUUUCCUUUGACCGUACUAUUAAGAGGGGUUUUGAUCUAGUAGCUUGACUUAGGCAAGGCUUUAGGUUUAGGUGUGGUGCACACUUGGUAAACCUAGCACUAGGCAGCUCAGAGAUAGUCCUUAGAUCGAGAGGAACCAACUUUGUUUUGGAGCGAUUGCGUUUCGAUGAAGUUAGGGUGCCCAAGGGGGCACCGGACGCUGCACUGGACGCUCUGUGAGUGCGUCCUGUGAGGUCCUUAGCCAUUGAGAGUUUGGGUGCCUUAGGGUUAGGCACCGGACGCUGGCACCGGACUCACCGGGCAGCGUCCGGUCCCACACCCAGGGAGGUUGCAAACUUCCCUUGAGCACCGGACGCACCGGGUAGCGUCCGGUCCCAUACUCAGGGAGUUUGUAAAACUCCCCGGAGCACCGGACGGUGCCACCAGACGCUAAGAGGUAGCGUCCGGUGACCUGUCAGACGCAGGUAUAGUUAGCCGGAGUGUGUGUUGACACUAGCUAACACCACUUAGAUACUAGGUUGUCAUCCCCAGCAUGGUGCCAGAGUGUACAAAGGUAUUUAUAAAUGUCAAGGCUCUCUAGAAAAUAAUCUAUUCUAUCAAUAAGCACACAGAUAAAACACCUCAUUGUAGCAUUUCAGCAGGAUAAGUAUUCCAGGUAUCGUUAUUUAUAAUUUUGCUUAAGAGAACAAAAGGGAUGAAAUUAAAAUAAGGACAAAAUCUAUCAAGGCAUAGACUAGAGAUAAACUUGUAAGAACAUGAUUACUAACGAGAAACUCGUCACACAGUCACUUACUUUGGCAGGGGGUAAACCAUAAAGAUAAUGAUAAUGAAUUAUAAGUUCAAGGGUAAAUAACACAGCGAUUAGAAAAUGGACUACUCCUCAUAUAUGUAGGUGAUGUCGGAUUAGCUAGAGAAUGGAUUCUAAGUUAUCUACUAUCUAUUAAGUCAUAAUCUACUCUAGUUAUCUACAAGAUAAUGUAUAGCAUAUAAGACUCUUCAUUCAUGUAUAAGGAACAUUGCUAAAGUAAAUCAGAACAUCACAAGACUUACUCCGCAAUACAAAUUCUACCUAUCCAAUCAACGGAGGGUGGACUAUAUAAGAAUCAACGAAGCUGUCACUAUCGCAAACUACCACACGACCCGACCAAUAGGAUACAUUUGCAGGUAAAUAACAUCUAAGCACCACGCCCACAUGUGAUCUACCACUUAACUCCCUCGCGUCAAGAGCUAAGCGCAUUGCAAACUUAUACAUAAACUCAUUAUCAAUCAUAACUAUAUCAAAUAUAGAACUAGAGCAAACUAAGAACAUAAUAAAUAGAGACAUAAUGCAAUUAGAACAAAGUAUUAGAGAAAGAUAUGAAUAAUACCAAUCUUUAUUACCGAAGAUCCGAAUCCAGAGCGUAGUGCUCUACUUCUCUAAUUGCUAUCUAAUCAAACCUCUAUACUUGAAGGAUUAGGGAGUAGCUAAUUCUAAUUCUCUGUGGGAGAGAAGCUCUAAACCCUAACUUUGAUGGCUACAUCUGAAUAAUGAUUUCUUCUCUUCUCUUCGCUCCCCCAGGAGUGGAGAGGCCUUGGUUAUAUAGUCCUUUCAAGUGAAUUUGGGCCGUUGGAUCAAACCGACAUUGAUUGUAUGGUUUAGAUUCAUCCUUGAGGUCGGUGGAGUUUAGUCCCGAAAGAGAGUCCUGAUUGGAUUCUAACCCUGGGCGGGCGCCCUGCUCCCAAGCCCGAUCAUCUUCUCGUUCGUUCCCGUGGCUUCUGGACUCUUCUAGAUUGAGGAAAAUUGCGCGGCACGUAAUUAUCUCGUUGUAAACAUGACAUGUGGGCCUUCUCUCCAUAUUCUCUGAUAACCCCCUGCAGAAAUAGAUAAACACCAAAGCUAGUGGAAUUCUGUCAGAUAAAACCCUAAUUCUAGAUGUUGAUUUCAUUUGGAUUCUAGAAAUAGAUAAACGCCAUUUGGAGUUCUGUGUUUGAAGAACCUUUGUGUCCGAGUUGGUACCUUGUAUGCCCCAGCAGACUUCGUAGUGGUAGAGACCGGAAAUGAUGAGAGAGCACCCAUCAUCUUAGGGAGGCCAUUCUUGAACACCACGGGAGCUAUCAUCUACGCUAGAGCUGCCAAGAUCAGUUUUUACGUCAAAGGGAGGAAGGAGACAUUUUUCUUUAAGAACAAGACUACACAAAUUCCAGAUCAAUCCAGACGUGAAUCAAGGAAGAGGACCAACAGGAGAAAUAGGAACAAGCAAGUGUGGACCAAGUCAGCUAAGAUGGUCACUGUAGUUCAUGGAGGUCAAGAUCAACAACUUAAAUCACCGUUUUUGACUAAGAAGGACGACCCAGGAAUGCCAAGCAUCUAUUGCUCCAUAAAUGGAUACAACUUCUACAAGACGACUUGUGACACCGGAUCGGGCGUCAACAUAAUGGCCGCAGUCACCUAUCGGCUCUUGUUCGGAACCAUGCCCCUAAAACCAACAUACAUUCAGCUCCAGAUGGCAGAUCAGACAUUUCGAGAAGUUAAAGGAACAGUAUCUGAUGUCCCAGUCAAAAUAGACGAUCAUUUUGUCUACACAGACUUUCAGGUUAUUGACAUGGGAGAAGACGAGUACGAUCCACCCAUCAUCCUUGGAAGACCGUUCCUCAGCACCGUUAAAGCAAUCAUCUACAUUGGAACCGGAGAAGUCCAUAUGCACUUCCCCUCAGAGAAGGUACGCCAUUAUUUUACUGACCCUAACUAUAUCGUUGAAGAAUCUAAGUAGGUCAGAAAGAGACGCAACCGCAACCAGAGGAGGCAAACCAUCAAGGACCGAUGGGCAGACUACGAAGGAGAAGUGAUAAGGUCAGAAGACGUAGAGUUUAAACAGAAUUAUCCUAAGGAGACCGAAGCACCGAGUCAGGUAUGGAAAGAGAAGAUAACUAUACAUGAAGAGGAGGCGCCGCCGGAAGUACCGACUCCGCCACCCAACGAAUCCCAGGACAAUUAAGAAAACGGAGAGUCCCAUUCGGAGGACUUAAAAACACCGAACGCCUUGCCAAGAGGUAAACUUGGUAGUUAUCCUUUCCCUUUCAAUUAUUUCAAAUAGUCUACUUAGUUAAUCAUGUUCAUGCUACCCUAAAGAGAAAAUAAAAAUGUGAAAAAUAGUAAGCCCCAUGUGAGUAUGCAAGUGGCAUAAAACCCAUAAGUACAUUCACUGUGGUGGCAUAAAAAUAAAAUAAAUAUUUUCUGCUUUAUAAAAUGAAAAUAUAAAAAUAGGGAGUAAUAAUUGUUAAGGAGUCUCAACAUGAUAAAGGCUAGAUAUUUAUGCUAACAUUUAAUCAGUUCCACGAGCUUUGUUGUCUAUUUGAGCUCCACAGAAUUUAAGAAUCAAGAAGACUAGCAGACGGAGGACAUUCUAAUCGUUGUCAGAAUGCUGCUGACUUUCAAAUACACCUCUGCCACCUGCUAGCUACAUCAAGAGAAAUUACGUCAAAAUUCAGCUUGGGGGAGAGCACCCCCAUUUAUCUCGAUAAGUAUUUCUAUCUAUCUAUCUUUAUAUUUCUACUAUAUUAAAAUAUAAUUAUGGAAAACCAAAUAAAGAUUUUAUGCUUAUAUAUAUACCUUUUGCUUAGUGUGUUUAAUAAAUAAAUAAAGUGGCUAUGCUAAUCUGUAUCUAAAUAAAACUCUAGCAUGGAUAUGAUGAAUAGUUGCUCUGCCUAAUUUGUACAUUUUAAGUUCUCUCUCAAGUUUAGAUAUAACUGUUAUAAUUUAAAGCUUGCUCUAGACCUAAACUUGUGGGAUGAAAACUUGAUCUAAAGUCUAAGUUGUUAACGGAUACGAUAUGGGAAGGCUAAGCUGUUGUUUAUCUGUUUCCAGAGAUGCUGGAAAUCUGGAGAAUUUUAUCUUUGAAAAUCUUUAAAAUGUUGCAUGAUGAGUUCCUGUAUGAUGAGAGUUUUAAAUUCCUACCACAGCCAUAUAUACAUGCUUGCUAGAUUUUGAGCCACACAUUUACUAUUUAUUGCUUAUGAGCAUUGAGUGUGGUCAAGCUGUGUAGACCCUUAGGAUCUUGUCAUGUGGUUAAAUCAAGAUUUCACUUGCACGUUCACUCAUAUAUGCUACUUCUACUCCGAAAGUACCAUCCACAUAUAUCCAUCCAUUUCCAUCUCCAGAAUCACCCAAAAAUAUUCUACUGCUAAUCCGGGAGAGAAUAACCAAAAAUAUUUGUCGAGGGUAUCAGUAAGGGGUACCCUAACUGACGCACAUAACGAGAUUACCCGUGCACAGAUCGAGGCCCUCAACUCGACGUACUAAUAAGCCGUGCAGUCAUCGACGGCCGCAGCCUCGAAGACGGAAAAGACGUCGAGCGAACCACUCAAGGGUCGAGCGCUAACUAUCGUCGAAUACGAAAAUGGGCUCGAGCGAAUCGGGAGGCAUUGAGCGCAAGGACACUGUCCGCCGCCUGACGCGCGCACGAGAGCCAGGGCAUUUAAUGCGCCUGUCGCUUUCCCACCUAACACGCUGUUCACGGGAAGCGUGAUAGGGAAUAGGCACCCGUCCCAUCAUUCUUUUUGCAGCUUUCCCCACCAAACGGCUCAGAGCGUACCAGGACGCGGGAAGCAGGGAUGGGAGCGUCUAAUCGGGACCUCCUCGAGGCACCCAAGGUCAACGCUUUGGACAACAAGGCACUGCACGGCGUCUGACCCUCGACCAGGCAAGAUUCCUUCCUGGGGAAGAGUUGGGCGUCGACUGACAACACCGCAGCCACUCCGCCGGAUCUGCCGCUAUACCGUACAGGCGUGCGACCGAUGAACCAGGCCGAGACGGCGCGCAGAGCAGGAUACGAGGGCACGCGUAAUCAUCAUCAAGCUACCAAGACGGGACGGCUCGAGACCACGCCGGUACGGAGGCCUCGAGUAGGUCAGCGCGCCAUGCCUCUAUCGACCCCUACUCUGACACCUAUACGUGUACCCUAGGUCUCUCCUUGGAGCUAUAAAAGGGGAGACCCGAGAAUAGACACACAUCACCACACAACGCUACACCCGCACGUAGUAGAGACUCCACACUCCAUUCUACCCGAGCUUGUAUUCACCCCUGUACAAGCACUUAGGUGCAAAAUAAUACAAACUCUCCCCCCCGCUGGACGUAGGGCCUUCUCUUGCCCGAACCAGGAUAAAUCUUUGUGUGUCUUUUUGCGUCACCAUCUCGGAAAGGGAGCACGCAUACAAAUUUACUCGUUGUUGUGACCCCCCGUGGGGAAAACACCGACAGUUGGCGCGCCAGGUAGGGGUCCUGCGUGUUUUUUCAUCGAUUUCCCACUCCUUUCCAGAUGGCCACUCUCGCCUCGCCGAUUCCGCGCCCCACGGUGAUUUGGUUUGGGAGCCUUGAGUUCGUGUUGACUGGCUCCGGCUACGACAUGAUCUUGCUCUCGAUCAAAGGACCGGGAGGAGCCCGCGUUACACCAGCGCAAACAAGGGCCCCGAGACGCCCUCGACAUCAUGCCUCCCUGCCAAAGAAGAGGCAUGGGCAGCACCACCGUCACCCCUCUGCCUCGUCACGACCGGCAGUUCGUGCAAGGCAGGAGGUGGCACAGGAGCCGGCCGCGCCGCGUACCGGAACCGUGGGCAUGCCGGCCCAACAUCAUACGACGGCAAGAGGUGACGCGCCCCGAGCGCUCUCCUUCACCACUAGGUUGCUUCCACAUGGGUUGUUCACCCCAAGAAGGGCAUUGCCAUUCAGGUUGGACAACGCCGCGACGUCGCUCGCUAGGGCGAUAUGCCCAAAUGCCCAAACGUACGUGGAAAGACCAAUGGUCCUCCCACGUGACUCUGAAGCACGCCCGCCGACGUCCGAGUUGCCAGACCUCUCCCGGGUACGAGGCCUCCGCCGCCUAGGCCCUGGACGAUACACGAUCACCUCGCUCAGGGAGCGGCUGCUGGAGGAAAGACGUGGAUGUUACUACGCCGCCGAGCCAGACUCCGACUCCGAGCGCGAUAGCUACGACCCUACAAGGGAAUGCUAUCACAUCGACAGGGCGGUAGAAACUACCGACGAGACACAGGAUGCGGCUGCCGGCGGUCGAGCCCCUGCGGCAAGAGAAGAUCCCAGGACACCUGGGAACGAUGGACAGGUCGACCUGCUUCCACAGGAAGACAAGGCCGCGCAACUCGUGCAGUUACGAGAGCUCAAGACCAAGCUUGACGAAGAUCGUGAGUGCCUAGUCCUGCUUGAGCAAAUCCUCGAGCAAGACUUGGCAUACCUGCCCGGCGGAAGUGUCCGCAGACGCGCUCGAGAGGUACACCGACAAAUCGUCAGAGACGCAGAGCCAGAGCAGCCUGUCAGCCGCUUCCCUCGAGCAGGCCAGAAUGUAGUGGCAGCGACAAUGCUGCUGCGCAACAUGCCAGAGCCAUCGAACUCCCAAGCCCGACGUAUUCGAGAUGAGGUAUAGACUCUGCUCCAGGUGGUGGCAGUUCAACAAGCCGAAAGCUCGGCUUCUCGACGACGAGGAGCUGCCACUGAAAAGCGCGAUGAGCCACCCCAAAACGAAAAGGAGGUAUCAGUCCAUCAACUGCCACCCCCACGAGGAAGAAAGACCACGCUCAUUCUCCCCGUCAACAAUCAGCGUCGACACGACGCACGGCAUGACAUCGAAGAGAAUCGACGCCGCCGGCAUGGGGACGCGGAAGAGCGCGGUUCCAGCGCACAUCGUGGCGGGAGGUACGACUGCGAUGAGAACCGAAUGGCCCCCGAGCCACCAGGCCCACGGGUGUUCAGCAGGGCAAUCCGCAGCACACCACUGCCCAGUCCGUUCCGACCCCCAACCAGCAUCGCGAAAUACAACAGUGAAACCAAACCAGAACUGUGGCUGGCAGACUUCAGGCUGGCUUGUCAGCUGGGAGGUGCUCGAGGAGACGAUCGAGCCAUCAUCAGACAACUACUGCUUUUUCUCUCUGAUACCGCCUGACCGUGGCUCGAGGAACUUCCAGCUAAUCAGAUCCAGGACUGGGUCGAUUUGGUUAGAGUCUUCGAGGGUAAUUUCAAAGGGACCUACAUACGGCCCGGGAACUCGUGGGACCUCAGCAAGUGCAAACAGAAGUCAGGAGAAACUCUUCGAGAGUAUGCUCGACGCUUCUCGAAGCAGCACACCGAGCUGCCACGUAUCCCUGACCACGACGUCAUCCUGGCAUUUGUCUCUGGUACCACCAGUCGAGACCUGGUACGGGAAUUGGGCCGGAAUCGCCCUCAAACCGUCGAUGAGCUGAUGGACGUAGUGGCAAACUACGCAGCAGGGGAGGAAGCAGUCGGCGCCUUCUUCAGUUGUGAAGGAAGGAAAGGCAAGCAGCCCUCCAUUGAAGAUGGGACCCCCAGUCGAGGGCCCAAGAAAAACAAGAAGAAGCAGAAAGCGCGGCAGUUCAAGCAGAAAAACUUCGACGACGAUCUCGUCGCCGACAUGGAGCGGAAGAGGCCUCGAGGCCCUCCAGAUGGAGGCAUUUACGACAAGAUGCUAGAAGAACCAUGCCCUUACCAUAAGGGAGGCGCCAACCACAUGCACAAGGACUGUCGUAUGCUGAAAAAGCAUUUCGACGGUCUGGGGUUCAAAAAGGAUGCGCGUGACGACCCAAAGAAGGAGAAGGGCGGCAACGUGGAGGACAACAAAGAUGACGACGGCUUCCCAGCCGUCCACGACUGCUACAUGAUCUAUGGAGGGCCCUCGACGCAGUUGACCACAAGGCAGCGCAAAAGGGAACGACGUGAGGUCUUCGCGGCGAGAAUGGCGGUGCCCCAGUACCUCAGCUGGACGAGCACUCCCAUCACUUUCGAUCGAGAGGACCACCCGGACAAGGUAGUCGCCCCAGGCGUCUACCCGCUCGUCGUCGACCCCAUCAUCGUCAACACCCGGCUUUCAAAGGUGCUGAUGGACGGCGACAGCAGCCUCAACAUCAUCUACCUCGAGACCCUCGACCUCCUCGGCAUCGACAGGGGACGGCUCCAACCAAGCGCCGGCGGUUUCCAUGGCGUCGUGCCAGGGAAAAAGGCGCUACCAGUGGGUUGAAUCGACCUACCGGUCUGCUUUGGCACGGCGGCCAUCUUCAGGAAGGAGACCCUCACCUUUGAGGUGGUCGGACUCCGGGGCACGUACCACGCCAUCAUCGGUCGCCCGGGCUACGCCAAGUUCAUGGCUAUACCCAACUACACCUAUUUGAAGCGGAAGAUGCCCGGUCUCAAAGGCGUCAUCACCGUCAGCUCCUCCUUCAAACUCGCUUACGAAUGCAACGUCGAGUGUAACACCCCAGGUGUUUGCCACGAGUUAGACUUUAGGUUUUGAGCUCAAACAUGUCAUGAUGAGUGGUGAUGAUCAUGUUAAGGUUAAUCCAUGAAAGUGAGCCUGAAGUUAAACUUAGAGAAUGCACCCUUGCUUACAUAUAGAACCUUUUCAAAGUGCAUGCUUAGGUGAUGUUUAUGAAAUCUCUUUCAUGUGUCCGACAUCCAUCACGACCUAUAGUGAUCACUCAAAAAGUUUCAUGGAGUUUGGAAUCAAAAGGUCACAUGAAAUGUUAAGUUACAUGCUUGUUGGAAUGACCUCAUUAAGUGAAUAAAACCAUAGACCAUCAACCAUUCUUUGCAACCUUGCCCAAAUGACUCUAGAUGAACUCUACAACAAAAGUCAUGAAGGGUCCACGUUGAGCUUGUGCCCAGAAAGUGCUUCAAUUGGCCUAAAACCUUAAUUCAAGCUUUAUCAAGUUGCUGCUUUGACCAAAGUGAAAGUUUGACUUCUGUACUAGUUCUGAGGUUUGACCUUACAUCAAAGUUGUAGUUUAGAUUCUGUAGAACAAACUUUGUUUAAUGUUCAAGAGCUAGUUUGGUCUCUAACCUAGUCAAAUUGAGCUGACAAUAUUCAAUGCAGUGCUGUUUUGGAACUCUAGAAAUUGGCUAAGUCAUCAAGGUGCUCAGUUUCGGGUACCCUAGUUGGGAUCCCUGUAUCUUACUAACCAGGCCAACACAGUAUAAGAUCCUUUAAGCAAAGUUGUAGUACAGUUUGUAUACUACAAUCUUUGUUAAAGUUUCCAAGACUGAAUCUUCAUCUAAGCCUGUCAAAUAUGAGUCACAAAAUUGAAUCUGCUAUAGUUUCCAGCACUUAGAGUUUUUAAGUCUAGGUUUGGAGUUCAUCACGUUGGCAUUCCGCGUUCUCCAAAUUUUACUAAACAACUUGCUUGUGUUACAAAAUAAAAGUUGGAGCACAUAUUGUGGGCUACAGCAUGCCAAAAGAUGACACCAGUUUGACUUCGUUUUGGUCAUCAAUUUUGAGUUUCGCUAAUCACUAUCAAUUCGUUGAUACUCAUAGAUUGGCAUCAAAUUAUCUAUUAAUAUGUAAUCCUAAUGACCAUGACACUUAAACGAAAAAUGUAGAGCAGCACGAGUUUGACAAACUUCAUUUUUGGCCCAUGUCCAAAUUCGGCCCGUAGGUAGCCCAUAUUUGGAUCCCACGUUGACCACUCUGUUGCCUGCCACCUGUUCGGCAGAAUGCCUCAAAGGCCAGCACGUGUUCUGGACGUGGCAUCCAUGCCCGGAUGCGCCCCCUCCUCCUCUGCUACUCGCCCAGGCGCCCCCCACGCCCGGUUGUCGAAGUGGAGAAGCACCCCAGCGCCUUCCUCAUCCAUUUCCACCCCCUGCUCGCUCUCUCCCUCGCCCUAUGGCCACUCCGGAGCAGGGCCACCAUGGCCGGCCGCCAUGCCUCAGGGGUGAGCGUGGCCAAGCCACCACGAGUCUCCUCAGGCCGAGCUGAGUGGUCUUAUGGAUGCGGGGAAGUCUCCUGGUGCUCCCCCACCCCUCCCUCACCGCCGGCGUGGCCAUCUUUGGCCAGAAAGCGCAAAGCCGGCGAUCCUCCUCCCUUCUCUGUUCGAGCAGAGAAAGGAAAAGGGCCUCGUGUUGGAAUAAGAAACAAUGCAGGGUUCCAGAUGCGAAGCUUGUGGUCUGUUGCGUGAUUCGUGGAAAGUCCAGGGUCCCCGGUGAAAGAUCUGUUUUCCUUUUCCUUUGUUUUUGCAGAUUUCUGGGUGAACUUUGGAAAUCCAAAGUAAUGCAUCGAAAAGUCGUAAAAUAGCAAAUGUGGACUUUUUGGAAUCCUUGUGAAAUUCUCUAUGCAGUAGAUCUAUAAUAUGGCAUGGUUUAGUUUGCAGUUUUAGCAGUAAAAAUAGAUUUAUGCAGUUCGGUUUUAAUUGCUUGUUAUAUUUGUCUUUUUCAUAACCACUGUACUAUUGCUCAAAUAAAUGUGAAAAUAUUGUGGCAUGCUUUACAUGUACUAUUUGAUGUCUGGUAAAAGUUGCAUGAAUUUAGGCAUAACAUAUUAAGAGUUAUAAAAAUAACAAAUGCUCUGUGUUGCCUUGCUCCUAUUCUGAGUAUGUCUGCAUGUUUAUAUUGUUUGGUUCAUUUAGGUUGUGAAUCUUUCCUGGAUGAAAAUAUAUGAGUUGUAGUAAUUUUCAUAAGCUUUCCAUCAAGCUAAAUAGCAUAAUUUUUGGUCAAGCAUAUGUUUAGUUAUAGUAGUUUAAAUUACUAUUUCAGUUUCUGUCUAAACCUAGACAGCAAUGCAUUGGUGUUAUGUAAGACCUUGUUAGUUGUAGAUUUUGCUCUAGAUGUUUAUAACAAAGUUGUUCACAAUUUAGUAAGCUUUCUAGAAAGCAUAUAACCAUAAUUUAUGGGCAUAUGAAACUCAAGUUAUGGCUGUUUAAUGUGACAUGAUAGAUUCUGUCCAUGUUUUGGACAGAGAUGUCUUUAUGGAUAUUGAUAAAUGGUUUAUAAUUAUAAAUAACAAUGUAGAAAUGGAAAAUGUUGUUCCAAUACAAUCCUAUGAUAUUAUUGUAUCAUGUUUAUGUAUGAUAUGACCAUGUGUUUGAAGAAAAUAUGAUUUGUGCAUUGAUCUUGCUCUCACAUGGUUAAUUGCAAUAGCAAUUUGUCUUUUUCAUAGAUGAUGCUAUGCUUAUUCAAAUACUGUGAAAUUUAUACAGCAGUCUAUUCAUGGUAUUUAGAGGCUACUAUAAUGUUUGUAGAAUUUACUGUGCAUGUUUGAUAUAUGUUCUUUAAUACACCUUAUUAUCCAAAUAAAUUAAGAAAUGCAUUAAAUAAAUUUAUUUGGAAAUGACCACUAUGUUUUCUGGUGUUCUUUAGAUAUAUACAAACUGUUGGUAACAAUGGUUUUGCUCAAAUGCAUGUUUGAAAUAUAAGUUAAUAAUUAAUUGUUUGCAAUUGUUAUUUCUGGACAGUUUCGGUAACUGUUUGGAUUACAAUGUGUAAAUGAUGUUUUCUGGGAAUCUUGUUUAUAGUAAAGUUGUAGAUAAUUAAUUUAUCUAGCUGCUGUCAAAAUUUGGUGGCAUUUGGUUAUGUGGUUUGUAUGUUAUGGCUGUUCAAAAUUGAGUUUCAGAAAUGGUUGCUCUCUGUCUUGUUAGGACCUGAUUCUGUAAUUCUAAUAUUUCGACCUGCCAAACUUAUGAAUCAUGCUUUGAUAUAUAAAUAUGAAAUGUAGAUAAUUUCCUAAGCUUUCCAGAAUGUCUUCUUUCAUGUCUUUUGGAAUUGUGUAACUCCAGUAAUGAUUUAUUUUCUCAGCUACUGUUAACAGUCCUAAAAAUAACAGAUUCCUUGUAUUGCUGUUGCUUGGUAUAUUGCUAGGUGUGACUCAUGUCUUUGAUAAUGGCCAUGUUAUUACACCUGAAAUCUUGUGAAACAUGUAUGCCAUGCCUGAUAUACUUGGUUGCAUUCUUUUCUAUUUUAGUAUGUAGGUUUGUGUGAUGUUUAAGUAAUCAAUGAGAAGUGCUUAUGUAUGUUUAGUGUAACCAUGCUCUUCACAUACUUCUUGUGUGUGAUGCUUUGUCUAUUGCACUUCUAUGUGUUCAUACACUUGCAUCUUGCAUCUCAUUUAGGUACGCUAGAUGAACUACGUGAAGGACUUUAUGAUGGACCUAACCGGAUGAUGGAAGGACUACACAAGUGUUGUCACCUUAGAUGUCGUCAAGACGGUGUAAGCUGACAUAACUGACUUGUGUCGGAUUCCAGGCAAGCCCCGGAGCAUUUUAAGUCUCCUACCCUCUCUUUUUAUAAAAGCACAAGAGUAUAACUUUAUAUGAUGCAUUAGGUGAUAGGAGUUGAAUGAAACCGUUGGUGCAUAUAGUCCUACCUUGUCCACUAUAUGAAACUACCUGAACCCUUAACGUUCUAUGCUUAGCUAUGCUUAGCUCGGUAGAAGCCGGGUGAUUUCCUGUCACCUGCGAGAGAUAGGUGGAUACCUGAUCACGGUUGGCUAUAUUUGCUAUCGUGGAAAUAACCAUGUGCUAAUAAUGAAUUUGAGACCGGGCAGGAUGACGAUAGUGAAGCAACAAGGCAUGGAGGUCUUGGGUGUGAAUCUAUUCCCGUCUGUGUCGUUUAAGGACCGAUACGCUGUACGUCCUCGUGUCAUGUUGAACGCAUGCCUACCACUUAGCUGGCCGGAUAAGUCGUUCCGACCGUGAAGCCUACGAGUGCAACUCCGGGCGGAUACCCCGAUCUGGUUAAAGUGCGCACCCCGGUUGGUAGUAAGGAUGUGCGGGGAGUCAAUGGCGUAAGACCGAGGAGUCCGGUUAGAGUCCUGACCCUGGCAGAUUGGCGGUCCCUGGGGGUGCGGCGCCGUACGGACCCGCGAAUUGGUCCGGAGUUGUGCUAAAGGUGAUCCAACCUACUCUAGCUAAGUACGCCUGGGUGAGUGCUAGGAAUACCCCUCCAGCUGGAUAGGAAUCGAUUCGAAUCGCCGUCUCUCCCGGAUAGUGAGAACUUGACUCGAGCAGCGGCAACGUAGAUACACUAAAUGAAACUUAAUGGUUAUGAUGAUGAUGAUGGCUACAUGAUAAACCUGAUAUGGUUAUUAAUGUGAUGCUUAAUAAUCAAGUGGUUGCUAUAGAAUAGUAUUGGGUAUUUUAAACGCAAACAGAAAAAUCCGCAAGCGCACAGAUACCGAUGUAGCUUUCAACCGGGAGUAUUCCAGAGUAUCGAUUUUUCACAGAGAACGUGAGUGUACUAAUUAAGAUCCAAGAUCGCCCAAGGAUAACUAUAUAAUUAUUUUUUGGUGGGAAGAGAGGAAGUUUCCUGUGAGUUCUCUAGUUGAUCUAAGAAUCAAGAAUUACUUCAAGAUUAUCUAUAUCAGGACAUCAGAGCACUAACCACAGAAAGAGAUUAGAAGGGGGCUAGGAAGGUCUGACUACGGUCCUACAAACACCGAUCCGAACGUGGUGGAAUACGUCGACCGUUAGGGCUGUCACUACCCUAAGGCUACCACAACAAUCCGCAGGACUGGGUGCAAUUCCAGGUAAUUGCAAGACUAAACACCACGUCUAAUCUAUUAAUUACUACUCUAGCGUUAUAAAGACUAGAGCACUUGAUGCAAGCGGGAAUCCAAUAAAUAACUAGAAUGUAAAUAAAAGUAAUUAGAGAACUCAGGAAUUAUGAAUUGAUGAACCUGGAGAACGAUGAAGAACGAACCAGUUGCUGCAAAAGUACAAUGUUGAGGAAGAUCCGACAGAUCCGGCUCCUCCUCCUCCGCUCUCCUCUUCUCUCUCCCUAUUUUCUAGAUUACAACUAGAACUAACUAGAACUAGAACUAGAGGAACUAGAACUAGAACUAGAUGAACUAGAACUAGAUCUAGAUGAACUAGAGGUAGAACUAGAAGAACUAGAGGGAUCCUCUCUACUUGGAUGAAGAAUUGAAACCCUAGCUUUGAUUCUGUAGAAGAGGUAUGCCUCCAGGGGCUGGUGGGGGUCUGCUUAUAUAGUCCAGGAAGAGUAGCCCCCAAGAAAUCUAGGAAGAGUAGCUCCCAAGAAAUCUAGGAAGAGUAGCUCCCAAGGAAUUUCCACGUUAUUCUCCACCAUCCGAUCAAACCGACCUUAAUCGUGUGAUUUUCCUUGAUCCUUAGAGUCGGUGGAGCACGAUCCGCGAAGUUGACCCUGAUUGGGCACUGUAGCAGGGCGGGCGCCCAGGUCAACUAGGCGGGCGCCCAGUGCCUGGCCCCGUUCGGUCUCCGCUUCCUUCCCGUGGCUUCUGGAGUCUUCUAGAUGGUAGAAAAUUGUGCGGCACAUUAAUAUCUCUAUGUAAACCCGACGUGUGGGCCUUUCCUCCGUAUUUCCUGAUAACCCCCUGUAGAAAUAGACAAACACCAAAACUCUUGGAAUUCUAUCAGAUAAAACCCUAAGUCUAGGUGUUGGUUGCAUUUGGAUCCUUUUCUAUGAUUAGUUGAUCGUUAAAUGUGAGCAUUAAGGACCAUCAACAAGCUCCCCCAAGCUUAACCUCUGCUCGUCCCUGAGCAAAGAUGGACUCAAGAGUUUCUGCAGUGGUUUUAUGCCUUAAAGAUACAAAUGCGUUCAAACAAGAUAUCAUCUCUGGGUUAGAGUAAACUGUUAAGACUUAAAACUUACUCAUAUUACCUUUCACCAUGGGGUUUGUAACCGUCACUUCUGUCUUGAGUAGUUAAAAGAUAGAACGGUCUAAUCAAGCGCUAUGUCUCUUGUUCUUCGAUUAACUAUAGCUCUAGAGUUUUUGCAGAUUUUCAAAUAAAACUCAGAGAUUCCUUGUAUGACUCUCUCUAGUCUCUCUUUUGUGGUAUUUCUGGAUCCUUACCAAGGCAGUGAUGGUAUAUGCCUUCUCUCAAAGUAUGUGGUAUUUGUAGUAUGAAGCAUAGUGGCAUUGCCUUCUCUCUCACCCUACUCUAAUAAGGUUUUGAUAUCUGGAGCUCAUAGGUGGGAGACAACUAAUACAUACUUACAAGACAUUUAUUGCAUAGUCAAACCAUGGAUCCAGAAGAACAAGUCAAUAAGACAAAUCAAGAUGUGCAUGUGUGGCGAAUGAAUAGUGUAUGGUGAUGAUGGUGAUAACAAUGGUGAAAGUCUAAUUCUACUUGUGCUCUUUCGAGGGGAUACAUACCUUUCUUGCUCUUUUGAAACUUUUUGAGGAGAAUGAGUUGCUCUAUAUUUUCUUUUUCUUUUCUCUCAGGUGGGUAUUUUGUACCCCUAAUUCUACUGUCGGACACUUGUCCAUUUUUACCUCUCGUCUCACUUUUUCUUUUCUUUCGAGGUUCCGGGCACUUGCCCAUUUUUAUUUCCUCGUAUCUCUUUUUUUUUCUUUCUUUUUUUAGAGCACUCAUCUCCUGAAAUAAUAUAGCAAGUGGUAGUAACCAAGAUAACUUGAGCAUUUAUUUCACAGGGGAAAACAGAAAUAGGAGAAUGUUUUUAGCUAUUCUCUCCCAGAUUAGGAGUAGAAUAUUUUUAGGUGAUUCUGGAGAUGGAAAUGGAUGGAUAUAUGUGGAUGCGUACUUCCGGAGUAGAAGUAGCAUGUAUGAGUGAACGUGCAAGUGAAUCUUGAUUUAACCACAUGACAAGCUCCUAAGGGUCUACACAGCUUGACCACACUCAAAGCUCAUAAGCAGUAAAAAGUAAAUGUGUGGCUCAAAGUCUAGCAAGCAUGUAUAUAUGGCUGUGGUAGGAAUUUAAACUCUCAUCAUACAGGAACUCAUCAUGCAAAAUUUUAAAGAUUUUCAAAGAUAAAAUUCUCUAGAAUUCUAGCAUCUCUAGAAACAGAUAAACAGCAGCUCAACCUUCCCAUAUCGUAUCCGUUAACGACUUAGACUUUAGAUCAAGUACUCUCCCCACAAGUUCAGGUUUAGAGCAAAUCUUAAUUAAUACUAGUCAUGCCUAAACUUGAGAGAGAUUUCAAUUUUGAGAACUAGUCAUGGCAGAGCAACUAUUCAUCAUUUCCAUGUGAGAGCUUAUCAUGAGGGUUCAUAGCAAAAUUUAUUUAUUUAUUUAUUUGGCAAACUAAGCAAAGAUAUAUAUAAGCACAAAAUCUUUAUUUGGGUUUUUAUGAUUAUGCAUCUUUUUAUUAUUUGAGUAAAGUAUAAACGUGAGUAGAAUACUUAGCUGGAUAAAUCGGGGUGCUCUCCCCUAGGCUGGAUUUUGACACAAUUUCUUCUAAUGUAGCUAGCAGCCGGCGGAGGUGUAUUUGAAUGUCGGCAGCACUCUGUCAGCGAUUAGGAUGUCCUCCGUCUGCUAGUCUUCUUUGAUCCUUGAAUUCUGUGGAGCUCAAAUAGACAACAAAGCUUUAUGGAACUGGUUAAGUGUUAGCAUAAAUAUCUAGCCUUUAUCAUGUUGAGCCUCCUCAAUAAAUAUUACUCUCUUUAGUAGGAUCAUAAAUUUAUUUUUAUAAUUUUAUUUUUUAUAGGACAGGAAUAUAUUUAUUUCAUUUUUAUGCCACCACAGUGAAUGUACUUAUGGGUUUUAUGCCAUGAGCAUACUCACAUGGGGCUUACUAUUUUAAACAUUUUUAUUUUCUUUUCAAGAUGAUAUGAACGUGAUUAACUAAGCAAACUAUUUUAAAAUAAUUGAAAGGAAAAGGAUAACUACCAAGUUUACCUCUUGGCAAGGCGUUCGGUGUUUUUAAGUCCUCCGAACGGGACUCUCCGUUUUCUCAUUCGUCCUGGGAUUCGCUGGAUGGCGUAGUCGGUGGUUCCGGUGGAGCCUGCUCUUCAUGUAUAACUAUCUUUUUUCUCCACACCAGACUCAAUGCUACAGUCUCCUCAGGACAGUUCUGUUCAAGUUAUAUGUCUUCAGACCUUACAACUUCUCCAUCAUAGUCUACCCAUCUGUCCUUGAUGAUUUUGCCUUCUCUGGUUGCGGUUGCGCCGUCUCCUUCUUGUCCCGACCUGCUUAGAGUCUUCAACUAUAUAGUUAGGGUCAGUAAAAUAGUGGCGUACCUUCUCAGAGGUGAAGUGCAUGUAGACUUCUCGGGUUCCAAUGUAGAUGAUUGCUUUAACGGUGCUGAGGAACGGUCUCCUAAGGAUGAUGGAGGAUCAUACUUGUCUUCUCCCAUGUCAAUAACCUUUCGGAAUGUCUGAUCUGCCGUCUGGAGCUGAAUGUAUAUCGGUUUUAGAGGCAUGGUUCCAUACAGGAGCUGAUAAGUGACUGCGGCCAUUAUGUUGACGUCAGAUCCGGUGUCAUAGAGUGUCUUCUGAAAAGAAUAUCUGUUGAUUGUGCACUUGAUGCUUGGAACACCAGGGUCAUCCUUCUUGAUCAAGAAAGGCGACUUGAGUUGACGAUCAUGACCUUCUUGAGCUGCAGUGACCAUCUUAGCUGACUCAGUCCACAUUUGCUUGUUUCUGUUCCUCCUGUUGGUCCUCUUCCUUGGUUCAUGUCGGGAUUGCUCUGAGAUUUGUGUAGUCUUGUUCUUGAAGGAAAACGUCUCCUUCCUCCCCUUGAUGUAGAAAUGGAUUUUAGCAGCACUAGCGUAGAUGACAGCUCCCGAGGUGUUCAGGAAUGGCCUCCCCUGGGCAUAAUAUUGACGCUGGAACCGAAGUGGUAGAGUGCUUCUGCGAAGUCCACCAUGCCGAUGGAGAUCGGGAUGACGGGGCGUCCUGGAUCGCGUCUCUUGACUGAGUGUCCAGUAUCUCCAGUGUGUUUGUGCUCGUAGAUCUAGGUUCUUCACUUGGUGGAGUCUGGAAGUUGUAAAAGUCCUUCAUAUUUUGCUCGAAGUGUACCUGCUCAUAGAGACAAGGCAGAGAUCAAGUGCAUGGGUCCUGUUGGUGGAAAACACCAAUAGAACCGAAAGUGUAUUUGUUCUCUCUAACCUUAAGCAUAGUGAGCAAGACAAAGUUGAUGGAUAAUAAGAUCAUGAGUGUAGCAUUUAAAGCAUUUGUCAUAUCUGACCGCUCAACCUAAUGGAAAGAUAAUCUAUCUAUAUAAAUGUUUUUUUCUUUACAUGACUAUCAUUUUCCAAAGAUUGAGUGUGCAACAUUUUAGUUCAUAUGAUUAGGAGUGUGGGAUCACAAAGGUGGAAGGACUAAACAUAUUGAAUUGACUGGGUUGGUUAAUCAAGAGUUGUAAAUCAUACAUGUUUGUCUCUUUUAUUUAUGUGAACGCCAGAACCAAUGAGAAGCUUAUAAAAGUGAUAGUCAAGUACCUUAAGAUGUUACCUUACUUGAAGAGUGAUGGUACAGUAUCACCUUGUGGAAGCUUUCCUUUCUUAGCGGUUGUGCAUCGUGUUUGUGGCAUCCUCCAUGGAUCAUCUCUUGUGAUCUAUGCCUUCCUUGUGUAAAUUGUUAAACUUCAUGUGUCUCUCUCUGUCUCCAAUGUUGGUGUAUCUCAGGACUUCCCAGGUCAAUAUUAAAAGUUCUCCUGCAGGGGUUAGUCCAACAAAAUAUCCAAUAUCUACUAUAGCAUACUAUCGGCUCAAAGAUCAACCUAGACAGCAUGUCUAAUUUGAUUUAGGAGGGCAUUUUAACCUAAGCAUCAUGCUUAAUUUAAACUCCCUUGGAAGUAAGAUCAUCAGCCCUAAACUAAGCACCAUGCUUAAUUAAGAGAUAAAUGAAUCUACUCCAAACCUAGACAUAUACUAAAGCAAAUAAAGGUAGCAUGAAAGCAUUUAUAGAGAUCUACUCAAGUGGAGAUGAAGUAGUGUGAUUAGUAUUUAACAGAUUGAGCAUGUCUCAAAGGUAGGGACAACCAACAUAGCAACAUGGCAAAGGAUGUUUUUAUGUAAAGUACUCCCCCAAGCUUGAAUUUUGCAAAAUUCAAGUUUGGAUGAAUUUAAUUCAAUGUUGUAUGAUGAUUGGUUGGACAUACCUUGUGCUUGUCAUUCAUCCGAUCUUCUUGCUCCAAUCCUGGAAAGGUUAGUGACAAGAAUACCCAAAGGAAUUUUUUUUACAAUUAUCCUUAUAUGCUCAAUACACAAGGUAAUGUUGCAAAUAAUUAAAAGCUCAUGUUACAAUCUGAUCAGUGCUUGUUUUAGGACACUAAGCUUGUCCUUGGGAAAUGUUGACGGUCCUUAAUGAUCACAAUUAACCAUCAACUAAUCAUAGAAAAGGAUCCAAAUGCAACCAACACCUAGACUUAGGGUUUUAUCUGAUAGAAUUCCACAAGUUUUGGUGUUUGUCUAUUUCUGUAGGGGGUUAUCAGGAAAUACGAAAGAAAGGCCCACACGUCGGGUUUACAUAGAGAUAUUAACGUACCGCACAAUUUUCUACCAUCUAGAAGACUCCAGAAGCCACGGGAACGAACGGGAGGCCGAUCGGGCUCGGAGGCAGGGCGCCCACCCAACUCUCCUGGGCGCCCGCCCAGCUACUGUGUCCAAUUCGGACCCGUUUCACGUAUUAUGCUCCACCGACCUAAAGGAUCAAGGAAAACCGUGCGAUCAAUGUCGGUUUGAUCUGACGGCCCAGAUUCACUUGAAGGGACUAUAAAACCAGACCCCCCUAGCCCCUGGAGAUCAUACCUCUUCUACAGAAUCAAAGUUAGGGUUUCAAUUCUUCAUCCAAGUAGAGAGGAUCCCUCUAGUUCUUCUAGUUCUACCUCUAGUUCAUCUAGAUCUAGUUCUAGUUCAUCUAGUUCUAGUUCUAGUUCCUCUAGUUCUAGUUCUAGUUAGUUCUAGUUGUAAUCUAGAAAAUAGGGAGAGAGAAGAGGAGAGCGGAGGAGGAGCCGGAUCUGUCGGAUCUUCCUCAACAUUGUACUCUUGCAGCAACUGGUUCGUUCUUCAUCGUUCUCCAGGUUCUUCAAUUCAUAACUCCUGAGUUCUCUAAUUACUUUUAUUUACAUUCAAGUUAUUUAUUGGAUUCCCGCUUGCAUCAAGUGCUCUAAUCUUUGAAACAUUAGAGUAGUAAUUAAUAGAUUAGACGUGGUGUUUAGUCUUGCAAUUACCUGGAAUUGCACCCAAUCCUUCGGAUUGUUGUGGUAGCCUUAGGGUAGUGACAGCCCUAACGGUCGACGUAUUCCACCUCGUUCGGAUCGGUGUUUGUAGGACCGUAGUCGGAGCUUCCUAGCCCCCUUCUCAUCUCUUUCUGUGGUUAGUGUUCUGAUGUCCCGAAAUAGAUAAUCUUGAAGUAAUUCUUGAUUCUUAGAUCAACUAGAGAACUCUCAGGAAACUUCCUCUCUUCUCACCAAAAAUAAUUAUAUAGUUAUCCUUGGGCGAUCUUGAUUCUUAAUUAGUACACUCACGUUCCCUGUGGAAAAUCGAUACUCUGGAAUACUCCCGGGUGAAGGCUACAUCGGUAUCCGUGCGCUUGCGGAUUUUUCUGUUUGCGUUUAAAAUACCCAACAAGCUUUCUGGCGCCGUUGCCGGGGAACGGUAGCUGUGCUAGUUUCGAACCAAGUCGUCCGUGUAUCCUUUUUCUUUUCCUUUUUUACCACACUCACCUUAUCAUUUUCACCAUACCACAUGGAUUUCACUCUAAGCAUUAGUGAGCAUGGAAUUUAUUUCAUAGCCACUUCAUUUACUCCAUGCUCAUAUGCACCAUCUUCACAAUCCAUUGGUCUCUCCAGCAUCACCACAUUCGAGAUCUCCAACCCCCUCUUCCUUUCUAUUUAUAAAAACUUUAAAAGGGCGGUUGUCGAUGCAUAUGUUUAUAAUAAAUAUUGCAGAUCUCGUUGAGUUGAUCUUGAUAUAGGUUAGCGUUGGAGGGGAAACCACUUCGCCGACAUAAAUUGAUGGUUUCCCAAGGACAAGCUUAGUGUCCUAAAACAAGCACUGAUCAGAUCGUAACAUGAGCUGUUAAUUAUUUGCAACAUUACCUUGUGUAUUGAGUAUAUAAGGAUAAUUGUAAAAAUAUUCCUUCGGGUAUUCUUGUCACUAACCUUUCUAGGAUUGGAGCAAGAAGAUCGGAUGAAUGACAAGCACAAGGUAUGUCCAACCAAUCAUCGUACAACAUUGAAUUAAAUUCAUCCAAACUUGAAUUUUGCAAAAUUCAAGCUUGGGGGAGUACUUUCCAAAAAAAACAUCCUUUGCCAUGUUGCUAUGUUAGUUGUCCCUACCUUUGAGACAUGCUCAAGUUGUUAAAUACUAAUCACACUACUUCAUCUCCACUUGAGUAGAUCUCUAUAAAUGCUCUCAUGCUACCUUUAUUUGCUUUAGUAUAUGUCUAGGUUUGGAGUAGUUUCAUUUAUCUCUUAAUUAAGCAUGGUGCUUAGUUUAGGGCUGAUGAUCUUACUUCCAAGGGAGUUUAAAUUAAGCAUGAUGCUUAGGUUAAAUUGCCCUCCUAAAUCAAAUUAGACAUGGUGUUUAUGUUGAUCUUUGAGCCGAUAGUAUGCUAUAGUAGAUAUUGGAUAUUUUGUUGGACUAACCCCUGCAGGAAAACUUUCAAUAUAGACUUGGGAAGUCCUGAGAUAAACUCACAUUGGAGACAAAGAGAGAGACGCAUGAAGGUUAACAAUUUACACAAGGAAGGCAUAGCUCACAAGAGAUGAUCCAUAGAGGGUGCCACAAACACGAUGCAUAACCGCUAAGAAAGGGAAGCUUCCAUAAGGUGAUACGGUACCAUCACUCUUCAAGUAAGGUAACAUCUUAAGGUACUUGACUUUCACUUCUAUAAGCUUCUCCUUUGUUCUGGCGUUCACAUGAAUAAAAGAGACAAACAUGUAUGAUUUACAACUCUAGAUUAACCAACCCAGUCGAUUCAAUAUGUUUAGUCCUUCCACCUUUGUGACCCCAUACUCCUAAUCAUAUGAACUAAAAUGUUGCACACUCAAUCUUUGGAAGAUAUAUUUUAUAAAAAACAACAUAAAUAUAGAAAGAUUAUCUUUCCAUUAGGUUGAGCGAUUUGAUCUAACAAAUGUUUUAAAUGUUAUACUCAUGAUCUUAUUAUCCAUCAACUUUGUCUUGCUCACUAUGCUUAAGGUUAGAGAAGAACAAAUACACUUUUGGUUCUGUUGGUGUUUUCCACCAACAGGGCCCAUGCACUUGAUCUCUGCCUUGUCUCUAUGAGUAGGUACACUUUGAGCAAAAUAUGAAGGAGUUUUACAACUCCCAGACUCCACCAAUGUGAAGAACCUAGAUCUAUGAGCACAAACACGCUGGAGAUACUGGACACUCAUGCAAACACUGCCCUGAGAUGCUUGAGGACGUAACUACUGGAGUAACCGCUUUGUGGAAGUAAUUACUGAUCUUCUGCCGGUUAAGAGAAACAAUCCAGGACGCCCCGUCAUCCCGAUCUCCAUCGGCAUGGUGGACUUCCUAGAAGCACUUUCUUGCAGAUUAGACACUAAGUUUCCCAAAGGGAAUAUUGAAGAGCCUCUGCGUCCGAGUUGGUACCUUGUACGCCCCAGCAGACUUCUUGGUAAUAGAGACUGGUACUGAUGAGAGGGCACCCAUCAUUCUAGAGAGGCCAUUCCUGAACACCUCGAGAGCUGUCAUCUACGCUAGUGCUGCCAAGAUCAGUUUCUUCAUCAAGGGGACGAAGGAGACGUUUUCCUACAAGAACAAAACUACACAAAUCUCAGAGCAAUCCUGACAUGAACCAAGGAAAGGACCAACAGGAGGAACAGGAACAAGCAAGUGUGGACCAAGUCAGCUAAGAUGGUCACUGCAGUUCAAGGAGGUCAAGAUCAUCUAUUUUAGUCACCGUUUCUGACCAAAAAGGACGACUCAGUCACCUAUCAGCUUCUGUUCGGAACCAUGCCCUUAAAACCGACAUACACCCAGCUCCAGAUGGCAGAUCAAACAUUUCGGGAAGUUGAAGUUAUUGACAUAGGAGAAGACGAGUACGAUCCACCCAUCAUCCUUGGAAGACCGUUCCUCAACACCGUUAAAGCAAUCAUCUACAUUGGAACCGGCGGAGUCCACAUGCACUUCCCCUCUGAAAAGGUCAGGACAAGAAGAAGAUGACGCAACCGCAACCAGAGGAGGCAAAUCAUCAAGGACGGAUGGGUAGACUAUGAAGAAGAAGUUGUAAGGUCUGAAGACAUACAGCUUGAACAGAACUGUCCUGAGGAGACCGUAGCAACGAGUCAGGUGUGGAGAGAGAAGAUAGUUAUACACGAAGAGGAGACGCCGUCAGAACCACCGACUACGCCAUCCAGCGAAUCCAGGACAACAGAGAAAAUGGAGAGUCCCGUUCGGAGGACUUAAAAACACCGCACGCCUUGCCAAGAGGUAAACUUGGUAGUUAUCUUUUCCCUUUCAACUAUUUAAAAUAGUUUGCUUAGUUAAUCAGGUUCAUAUCAUCACGAAAAGAAAAUAAAAAUGUUUAAAAUAGUAAGCCCCAUGUGAGUAUGCUCAUGGCAUAAAACCCAUAAGUACAUUCACUGUGGUGGUGUAAAAAUGAAAUAAAUAUAUUCCUGUCCUAUAAAAAUAAAAUUAUAAAAAUAAAUUUAUGAUCCUACUAAAGAGUGUAACAUUUAUUGAGGAGGCUCAACAUGAUAAAGGCUAGGUAUUAUGCUAACACUUAACCAGUUCCACAAAGCUUUGUUGUCUAUUUGAGCUCCACAGAAUUCAAGGAUCAAAGAAGACUAGCAGACGGAGGACAUCCUAAUCGUUGACACAGUGCUGCCGACAUUCAAAUACACCUCCGCCAGCUGCUAGCUACAUUAGAAGAAAUUGUGUCAAAAUCCAGCUUGGGGGAGAGCACCCCCAUUUAUCCAGCUAAGUGUUCUACUCACGUUUAUAUUUUACUCAAAUAAUAAAAAGAUGCAUAAUCAUAAAAACCCAAAUAAAUAUUUUGUGCUUAUAUAUAUCUUUGCUUAGUUUGCUAAAUAAAUAAAUAAAUAAAGUUUGCUAUGAACCCUCAUGAUAAGCUCUCACAUGGAAAUGAUGAAUAAUUGCUCUACCAUGACUAGUUCUUAAAUUGAAAUCUCUCUCAAGUUAGGCAUGACUGGUAUUAAUUAAGAUUUGCUCUAAACCUAAACUUGUGGGCAGAGUACUUGAUCUAAAGUCUAAGUUGUUAACAGAUAUGAUAUGGGAAGGUUGAGCUGCUGUUUAUCUGUUCCUAGAGAUGCUAGAAUUCUGGAGAAUUUUAUCUUUGAAAAUCUUUAAAAUGUUGCAUGAUGAGUUCCUAUAUGAUUAGAGUUUAAAUUCCUACCACAGCCAUAUAUACAUGCUUGCUAGACUUUGAGCCACACAUUUACUUUUUACUGCUUAUGAGCAUUGAGUGUGGUCAAGCUGUGUAGACCCUUAGAAGCUUGUCAUGUGGUUAAGUCAAGAUUCACUUGCACGUUCACUCACACAUGUUGCUUCUACUCCGGAAGUACGCAUCCACAUAUAUCCAUCCAUUUCCAUCUCCAGAACCACCCAAAAAUAUUCUACUCUUAAUCUGGGAGAGAAUAGCCAAAAAUAUUUCUGUUUUUCCCCUGUGAAAUAAAUGCUCAAGUUAUCUUGUUACUACCACUUGCUAUAUUAUUUCAAGAGAUGAGUGCUCUAAAAAAAAGAGAGAAAAAAAAGAAAGAAUAUGAGGAAAUAAAAAGGGGCAAGUGCCCGGAACCUCGAAAGAAAAAAAAAAGUGAGACGAGAGGUAAAAAUGGACAAGUGUCCGACAGUAGAAUUAGGGGUACAAGAUACCCACCCGAGAGAAAAGAAAAAGAAAAUAUAGAGCAUCUCAUUCUCCUCAAAAAGAUUUAAAAGAGUAAGAAAGGUAUGUAUCCCCUCAAAAGAGCACAAGUAGAAUUAGACUUUCACCAUUGUUAUCACCAUCAUCACCAUACACCAUUCAUUCGCCACACAUGCACAUCUUGAUUUGACUUAUUGACUUGUUCUUCUGGAUCCAUAGCUUGACUAUGCAAUAAAUGUCUUGUAAGUAUGUAUUAGCUGUCUCCCACCUAUGAGCUCUAGAUAUUAAAGCCUUAUUAGAGUAGGAUGAGAGAGAAGGCAAUGUCACUAUGCCUUAUGCCACAAAUACCACAUACUUUGAGAGAAGGCAUAUACCAUUACUACCUUGGUAAGGAUCCAGAAAUACCACAAAAGAGAGACUAGAGAGAGUCAUACAAGGAAUCUCUGAGUUUUAUUUGAAAAUCUACAAAAACUCCAGAGCUGUAGUUAAUCGAAGAACAAGAGACAUGGUGCUUGACUAGACUGUUCUGUCUUUUAACUACUCAAGACAGAAGUGACGGUUACAAGUCCCAUGGUGAAAGGUAAAUGAGUAAGUUUUAAGUCUUAACAGUUUACUCUAACCAGAGAUGAGAUCUUGUUUAAACGCAUGUGUAUCUUUAAGUUAUGAAACCACUGCAGAAACUCUUGAGUUCAUCUUUGCUCAGGGACGAGCAAAGAUUAAGCUUGGGGGAGCUUGUUGACGGUCCUUAAUGCUCACAAUUAACCAUCAACUAAUCAUAGAAAAGGAUCCAAAUGCAACCAACACCUAGACUUAGGGUUUUAUCUGAUAGAAUUCCACAAGUUUUGGUGUUUGUCUAUUUCUGCAGGGGGUUAUCAGGAAAUACGAAAGAAAGGCCCACACGUCGGGUUUACAUAGAGAUAUUAACGUACCGCACAAUUUUCUACCAUCUAGAAGACUACAGAAGCCACGGGAACGAACGGGAGGCCGAUCGGGCUCGGAGGCAGGGCGCCCGCCCAACUCUCCUGGGCGCCCGCCCAGCUACAGUGUCCAAUUCGGACCCGUUUCACGUAUUAUGCUCCACCGACCUAAAGGAUCAAGGAAAACCGUGCGAUCAAUGUCGGUUUGAUCCGACGGCCCAGAUUCACUUGAAGGGACUAUAAAACCAGACCCCCCUGGCCCCUGGAGAUCAUACCUCGUCUACAGAAUCAAAGUUAGGGUUUCAAUUCUUCAUCCAAGUAGAGAGGAUCCCUCUAGUUCUUCUAGUUCUACCUCUAGUUCAUCUAGAUCUAGUUCUAGUUCAUCUAGUUCUAGUUCUAGUUCCUCUAGUUCUAGUUCUAGUUAAUUCUAGUUGUAAUCUAGAAAAUAGGGAGAGAGAAGAGGAGAGCGGAGGAGGAGCCGGAUCUGUCGGAUCUUCCUCAACAUUAUACUCUUGCAGCAACUGGUUCGUUCUUCGUCGUUCUCCAGGUUCUUCAAUUCAUAACUCCUGAGUUCUCUAAUUACUUUUAUUUACAUUCAAGUUAUUUAUUGGAUUCCGACUUGCAUCAAGUGCUCUAAUCUUUGAAACAUUAGAGUAGUAAUUAAUAAAUUAGACGUGGUGUUUAGUCUUGCAAUUACCUGGAAUUGCACCCAAUCCUGCGGAUUGUUGUGGUAGCCUUAGGGUAGUGACAGCCCUAACGGUCGACGUAUUCCACCUCGUUCGGAUCGGUGUUUGUAGGACCGUAGUCGGAGCUUCCUAGCCCCCUUCUCAUCUCUUUCUGUGGUUAGUGUUCUGAUGUCCCGAAAUAGAUAAUCUUGAAGUAAUUCUUGAUUCUUAGAUCAACUAGAGAACUCUCAGGAAACUUCCUCUCUUCUCACCAAAAAUAAUUAUAUAGUUAUCCUUGGGCGAUCUUGAUUCUUAAUUAGUACACUCACGUUCCCUGUGGAAAAUCGAUACUCUGGAAUACUCCUGGGUGAAGGCUACAUCGGUAUCCGUGCGCUUGCGGAUUUUUCUGUUUGCGUUUAAAAUACCCAACAGGAAACCAUCAAUUUUUGUCAGUGAAGUGGUUUCCCCUCCAACGCUGACCUAUAUCGAGAUCAACUCAACGAGAUCUGCAAAAUUUAUUAUAGACAUAUGCAUCUACAACCGCCCUUUUAAAAUUUUUAUAAAUAGAAAGGAAGAGGGGGUUGGAGAUCUCGAAUGUGGUGAUGUUGGAGAGACCAAUGGACUGUGAAGAUGUUGCAUAUGAGCAUGGAGUAAAUAAAGUGGCUAUGAAAUAAAUUUCAUGCUCAUUAAUGCUUAGAGUGAAAUCCAUGUGGUAUGGUGAAAAUGAUAAGGUGAGUGUGGUAAAAAAGGAAAAGAAAAAGGAUACACGGACGACUUGGUUCAAAACUAGCACAGCUACCGUUCCCCGGCAACGGCGCCAGAAAGCUUGUUGGGUAUUUUAAACGCAAACAGAAAAAUCCGCAAGCGCACGGAUACCGAUGUAGCUUUCACUCGGGAGUAUUCCAGAGUAUCGAUUUUCCACAGAGAACGUGAGUGUACUAAUUAAGAUCCAAGAUCGCCCAAGGAUAACUAUAUAAUUAUUUUUUGGUGGGAAGAGAGGAAGUUUCCUGAGAGUUCUCUAGUUGAUCUAAGAAUCAAGAAUUACUUCAAGAUUAUCUAUAUCGGGACAUCAGAGCACUAACCACAGAAAGAGAUGAGAAGGGGGCUUGGAAGGUCUGACUACGGUCCUACAAACACCGAUCCGAACAUGGUGGAAUACGUCGACCGUUAGGGCUGUCACUACCCUAAGGCUACCACAACAAUCCGCAGGACUGGGUGCAAUUCCAGGUAAUUGCAAGACUAAACACCACGUCUAAUCUAUUAAUUACUACUCUAGCGUUAUAAAGACUAGAGCACUUGAUGGAAGCGGGAAUCCAAUAAAUAACUUGAAUGUAAAUAAAAGUAAUUAAAGAACUCAAGAAUUAUGAAUUGAUGAACCUGGAGAACGAUGAAGAACGAACCAGUUGCUGCAAAAGUACAAUGUUGAGGAAGAUCCGACAGAUCCGGCUCCUCCUCCUCCGCUCUCCUCUUCUCUCUACCUAUUUUCUAGAUUACAACUAGAACUAACUAGAACUAGAACUAGAGGAACUAGAACUAGAACUAGAUGAACUAGAACUAGAUCUAGAUGAACUAGAGGUAGAACUAGAAGAACUAGAGGGAUCCUCUCUACUUGGAUGAAGAAUUGAAACCCUAGCUUUGAUUCUAUAGAAGAGGUAUGCCUCUAGGGGCUGGUGGGGGUCUGCUUAUAUAGUCCAGGAAGAGUAGCCCCCAAGAAAUCUAGGAAGAGUAGAUCCCAAGAAAUCUAGGAAGAGUAGCUCCCAAGGAAUUUCCACGUUAUUCUCCACCAUCCGAUGAAACCGACCUUAAUCGUGUGAUUUUCCUUGAUCCUUAGAGUCGGUGGAGCACGAUCCGCGAAGUUGACCCUGAUUGGGCACUGUAGCAGGGCGGGCGCCUAGGUCAACUGGGCGGGCGCCCAGUGCCUGGCCCCGUUCGGCCUCCGCUUCCUUCCCGUGGCUUCUGGAGUCUUCUAGAUGGUAGAAAAUUGCGCGGCAUGUUAAUAUCUCUAUGUAAACCCGACCUGUGGGCCUUUCCUCCGUAUUUCCUGAUAACCCCUUGCAGAAAUAGACAAACACCAAAACUCGUGGAAUUCUAUCAGAUAAAACCCUAGGUCUAGGUGUUGGUUGCAUUUGGAUCCUUUUCUAUGAUUAGUUGAUGGUUAAAUGUGAGCAUUAAGGACCGUCAACAAAUAGGUGCAAAUCUAGCUAUGGUAGCUUAAUUGAACUUGAUGCUAAAAUAUUGACUAAAAGGUUGAAAGUAAGGACUCAUGAUAGUAAUGCUCUUUUGGCAAAGUUAUGCUAUCCAACCAACUCCACCAAAAAGCCUUGCAUAUCCUUGAGAGUCUUUUAUUUUCUCUCCUGUCGGGUAAGUCUAGCUGAGUACAUUCGAGUACUCAGGGUUUAUCCCACCCUGUUGCAGGUGAAGUCUUCAGUCUGCUAAAGAUGGUGGCUAACUGCCGGUGGGCUCGGUGAUUCUAUAUAGUGUUCUCAUCUAUAUGCUUUUGUUGGAGGAUGUCACUUAUGCUAGCAAUGUAUUUGAAACUUAUGUUAUUGUAAUCAUUUGAAAGCUAUGUUGUUUUCUAAUCAAUUUGGAAAAUCUAAACUUGUAUUAUUAUUUGUGAACUCUUUUGUAAUAUUAUUUCCGCUGCAAAUCUCCGUGUAUGUGAUGUGUAUUUGCUUAAUCAUGCGAUCUUGGUGUAAAGUUGAUUUACCGAGGUCCUUCGUGACACUCGGCAGACUACCGAGUUUAUAUAAGUGAGAGUAUGCGCGUGUCAACUUGUUAAACGUGGACAGUCAUGCUUAAACUUGUAUAAAUUGGGCGGUUCUGUCACAGCUGGCAUCAGAGCAAGAUUAAGUAUAAUACUAUCAGGUACAUUGUUUUAAAAACAAAGUUUUGGUUUUAAAAAUCCUAUUUUGACUAAAACUUUAGCUACAGGCAAAACUUGUCAAAACUAAUUUAUAAAAACUACGCUAGCGACAACCUCUAAUUAUGCCCAAUUAAGGACUACUAGGUGGCUUUAUGUAAACUGAUGCUAACUAUGGGGGUUUAUUUUAUCGCAACUUUUACUUUCGUCGUCCAUACGGCGUGCAAUAGUAUGGAUGCCACUUAAGUGGUAAUGAACUACGCCACGGUAAGUAAUAAUUUUCCUUUCGUUGUCCAUACAGCGUGAAAUUGUAUGGAUGCCACUUGCUUGAGUGGUAAUGUAUGGAUCUAUAUGCCUCUACGCUAUGGUAAGUGUGAGUUGUGAGAGCAUGACCGUCCAACCGUCGGUCUAGGGGAGAGUUAGAUGUGGUUACUGGAAUAUUUACAUGUUACACACAUGUCUAUAUGAAGGUACUUAAUUGUGGGUUAGUUGGUAUGACCGUGUAUACAUGUCUCUGUGUAUACAUGGGCGUGCUUCACAUGGGUAGUAUGCUGCAAUAUAUAUUCAGAAAUAUAUAUUGGAGUACUUAGCUUUCAAUCUAGAGACCAGACUUUCAUUUCUGCACAUAUAUUAUUGUUGGGAUGGGCUGAAAUGAAAUUCUUAUGCAGGUACACUAACCACGAAUGCAUAGAUUGAACGUAGUUGACGACUAGCUAUAUGUCGAGAGAGUACGUGUUAUGCCACCGACAUAGAACGUGAUUGCCACCAUAGGCUGGCAAUUUUGUGAGGACGAAUAAGACGAAGCAUGCAUCCUUAUGAUUGUUGCAUUAUGCGUGACUAUGCUUCUCCCACCUUGUUCCAAAAUAAGUAACUUGUGAGUGAUAUGAUGUUACUCCUUUCCUUGUGUGAAGCUAUAUACAAAUUUGUCUUAGUCCAUGCUACUUGAAUAGUUUUGCUUGAAAGUAGUGUGCGAUGUGUCUAGCCUUGAAAUGUUGCUUCUAUAGGAGUGCUAAGUAAGCAGUAGUAGAAACUAUAAUCCUUUCAAAACUAAAGCUUGUCGGUGAACAUGUAUGUGGAUGUUUUCUGUGAUGUCUCUAAUUUUAAUUAACUAAGUAAAAAUUUGGCGUACCUAUAAUAGAAAUAGUUGAGGCUAUAUGCUUGAAUUUGUAGGUGUCCACUUGUUUAGCCAAGUGGCGAAUACGUUGCUCAUGAAAGUGUUUGCAAAUGUUUUAACCUCACUUAAACAAUUGUGAUUCUUCUGUUAAUCCCUCAUUGUCACCAAACUACAUUAUUGUUUAUCUAGGUAAUAAUGUUUGUAGCUACUGGGGUUAUACAUGUGUGUGCUCUCUUGUUAAUAGAACAAGGGAAAACAUUGCUUGAUAUGUGUGUUGAAUUUGGCUGCUAGAGCAGUUUGUAUUCUAGUGGUGUUUUUAUAACAAUAAUGGUGUUUCCUGUAAUUAUAGUGAAUACCAAAGUUGUAGCCAACUUCAAUAUCUAGUCUAUCCUAAAAUUUCAUGACCAUAGGCCUGAUGGUUUAGGAGUUAUGAACUUUUGAAGUUUGUUGUCAGAUCCUGAUUGUGUUAUGAACAGAUCUGAAUGUUUAGUUUGUUUGACUAGUAUCCAUAUAAAAUCAUAGAAAAAUCAGUUAGAAGAUUAAUCACUACCUUGGAAAUGACUCCAUGAUAUCCCUGAAGGCUACGUCUCAUAAAAUAGUGUCAUGCGAAGAAAACAAUAAGUUGAUCAACGAUGCAAAUACUAUUUCCUUUUCUAGGCCUUGAGUUGUCAAGUCAAUUCAAUCUUGGACAAACACAUAGAUGGUACCAAAUGCUAUAUCUAAGUCACAAGCUAGAGAAAAGCACAUCCCUAGUCUCGGUUAGCAUCAUUAUAUGUGUGGUGCUAUCAAAGGUUUUGUUUUGUUUGGUUAGCCAUAUGGUGUUUGCUUGAGCUGAAUUUUGGUUAAUGAUCAUAAGACUCUUGGAUCUCUAUACACACUAACAAUUCAUGCAUAAUGAAGCUAGUUUGUGCGGUGUGAACUGAACCUUAGGAUGACCUAUAAAAGACUCCUUUCACCCUUGGACACCUAGUUGUUACCCUAUCACAUCAACCGAUAGUUGAGCAAUCUAGGAGUUCUACAAGUCAAAAAUAAUUGGAAAGGUGUUAAACAACAAAUCCUAGAUUUAUUAUCUUAGAGCUGUUGUUUGAUCCUAGAAAGGAAGCCGCAAUGUCCAAAGUAGUUUCACCAAGCUAUUUUGCUACUGUACGAACUGACCCAACUUACUAAGCCACUACUUAGUGAUGGGAAAUUUCAUAGUUGACUUGCUUGGUAGUAGCUUGUUUCCCUAGUUCAGUGAAUACUUGCAACUGUUGUUGUCCUCUAUACCUUGCUAUCAUCUGUCUUUAGCAAUGCUUAUCUAAUGCUAACAUGUCUUGGGUAUCUUCUAUGUUCCUUUUACCCAAGAGGUUGUGUUUGAUACGACCUAGGUAAUUGUUACCACUUGGAGUCAAGAAAUUCCUUGAAUGGUGAGCAUUGACUUGGUAGACUCAGAUAAUACAGUGCUGUUAGCAGAGAAAGAGAACUGCACACAUGGAACCUUAGGUAGCUUUCCAUCAAUUGGCAUCUAAAUGAUUAGACCUUAUGACCAAAAUAGACAUUGUUUGUUGGUUAGUUUGAUUCUCAAAACCUCAAAGGAUGUUUCUCUAGUUCAUGAUCUCAUCUCCUACAGAAGGUUGUACUCAAGCCAUUUUGGUAGAGCACUGCCUUUCAAGCUUUGUGAACAUAGACGGAAACAUUGCAAUGAGUAGUUUACUUUGCUCCGAACCAUCCAUCAUACAUUGGGAAUGAAGUACAUGUGAUAGUGUUGUCUUAAAUUCCUCCCAAAGUAACAAUACUUCACGGAAGUCAAUAAAGGAAAUUCUUUAGACAAAGAUUCACUAUGAAGAACUAGUAUCAGAAAGUGUCCUGACCAAAUUACCCUCUCUGAUGCUCGGUGAUAAGUAGUUGACUGCUAUCGCCAAUGUUAGAAGUGAAUAACAUGCUUCUCUACCCUUGGAAGUCUUUUGUCCUGAAUCUCGGGACGAGAUUAUUUUAAGGGGGGAGGGUUGUAACACCCCAGGUGUUUGCCAUGAGUUAGACUUUAGGUUUUGAGCUCAAACAUGUCAUGAUGAGUGGUGAUGAUCAUGUUAAGGUUAAUCCAUGAAAGUGAGCCUGAAGAUAAACUUAGAGAAUGCACCCUUGCUUACAUAUAGUACCUUUUCAAAGUGCAUGCUUAGGUGAUGUUUAUGAAAUCUCUUUCAUGUGUCCGACAUCCAUCACGACCUAUAGUGAUCACUCAAAAAGUUUCAUGGAGUUUGGAAUCAAAAGGUCACAUGAAAUGUUAAGUUACAUGCUUGUUGGAAUGACCUCAUUAAGUGAAAAAAACCAUAGGUCAUCAACCAUUCUUUGCAACCUUGCCCAAAUGACUCUAGAUGAACUCUACAACAAAAGUCAUGAAGGGUUCAUGUUGAGCUUGUGCCCAGAAAGUGCUUCAAUUUCCCUAAAACCUUAAUUCAAGCUUUAUCAAGUUGCUGCUUUGACCAAAGUGAAAGUUUGAUUUCUGUACUAGUUCUGAGGUUUGACCUUAAAUCAAAGUUGUAGUUUAGAUUCGGUAGAACAAACUUUGUUUAAUGGUCAAGAACUAGUUUGGUCCCUAACCUUGUCAAAUUGAGCUGACAAGAUUCAAUGCAGUGCUGUUUUGGAACUCCAGAAAUUGGCUAAGUCAUCAAGGUGCUCAGUUUCGGGUACCCUAGUUGGGAUCCCUGUAUCUUACUAACCAGGCCAAAACAGUAUAAGAUCCUUUAAGCAAAGUUGUAGUACAGAUUGUAUACUACAAUCUUUGUUAAAGUUUCCAAGUCUGAAUCUUCAUCUAAGCAUGUCAAAUAUGAGCCACAAAAUUGAAUCUGAUAUAGUUUCCAGCACUUAGAGUUUUUAAGUCUAGGUUUGCAGUUCAUCACGUUGGCAUUCCGCGUUCUCCAAAUUUUACUAAACAACUUGCUUGUGUCACAAAAUAAAAGUUGGAGCACAUAUUGUGGGCUACAGCAUGCCAAAAGAUAACACCAGUUUGACUUCGUUUUGGUCAUCAAUUUUGAGUUUCGCUAAUCACUAUCAAUUCGUUGACACUCAUAGAUUGGCAUCAAAUUAUCUAUUAAUCUGUAAUCCUAAUGACCAUGACACAUAAAUGAAAAAUGUAGAGCAGCACGAGUUUGACAAACAUCAUUUUUGGCCCAUGUCCAAAUUCGGCCCGUAUGUAUGGAUCCCACGUUGACCACUCUGUUGCCCGCCACCUGUUCGGCAUAAUGCCUCAAAGGCCAGCACGUGUUCUAGACGUGGCAUCCAUGCCCGGAUGCGCCCCCUCCUCCUCUGCUACUCGCCCAGGCGCCCCCCCCACGCCCGGUUGUCGAAGUGGAGAAGCACCCCAGUGCCUUCCUCAUCCAUUUCCACCCCCGGCUCGCUCUCUCCCUCGCCCUAUGGCCACUCCGGAGCAGGGCCACCAUGGCCGGCCGCCAUGCCUCAGGGGUGAGCGUGGCCAAGCCACCACGAGUCUCCUCGGGCCGAGCUGAGUGGUCUUAUGGAUGCAGGGAAGUCUCCUGGUGCUCCCCCACCCCUCCCUCACCGUCGGCGUGGCCAUCUUUGGCCAGAAAGCGCAAAGCCGGCGAUCCUCCUCCGUUCUCUGUUCGAGCAGAGAAAGAAAAAGGGCCUCGUGUUGGAAUAAGAAACAAUCCAGGGUUCCAAAUGCGAAGCCAAGACUCAUAUAAAUAGUAUUUGUGGGAUGUUGCGUGAUUCGUGGAAAGUCCAGGGUCCCCGGUUAAAGAUCUGUUUUCCUUUUCCUUUGUUUUUGCAGAUUUCUGGGUGAAGUUUGAAAAUCCAUAGUAAUUCAUUGAAAAGUCAUAAAAUAGCAAAGGUGGACUUUUUGGAAUCCUUGUGAAAUUCUCUAUGCAGUAGAUCUAUAAUAUGGCAUGGUUUAGUUUUCAGUUUUAGCAGUAAAAAUAGAUUUAUGCAGUUCGGUUUUAAUUGCUUGUUAUAUUUGUCUUUUUAAUAACCACUGUACUAUUGCUCAAAUAAAUGUGAAAAUAUUGUGGCAUGCUUUAUAUAUACUAUUUGAUGUCUGGUAAAAGUUUCAUGAAUUUAGGCAUAACAGAUUAAGAGUUAUAAAAAUAACAAAUGCUCUGUGUUGCCUUGCUCCUAUUCUGAGUAUGUCUGCAUGUUUAUAUUGUUUGGUUCAGUUAGGUUGUGAAUCAUUCCUGGAUGAAAAUAUAUGAGUUGUAGUACUUUUCAUAAGCUUUCCAUCAAGCUAAAUAGCAUAAUUUUUGGUCAAGCAUAUGUUUAGUUAUAGUAGUUUAAAUUACUAUUUCAGUUUCUGUCUAAAUCCAGACAGCAAUGCAUUGGUUGUUAUGUAAGACCUUGUUAGUUGUAGAUUUAGCUCUAGAUGUUUAUAAAAAAGUUGUUCACAAUUUAGUAAGCGUUCUAGAAAGCACAUAACCAUAAUUUAUGGGCAUAUGAAACUCAAGUUAUGGCUGUUUAAUGUGACAUGAUAGAUUCUGUCCAUGUUUUGGACAGAGAUGUCUUUAUGGAUAUUGAUAAAUGGUUUAUAAUUAUAAAUAAAAAUGUAGAAAUAGAAAAUGUUGUUCCAAUACAAUCCUAUGAUAUUAUUGUAUCAUGUUUAUGUAUGUUAUGGCCAUGUGUUUGAAGAAAAUAUGAUUUGUGCAUUUAUCUUGCUCUCACAUGGUUAAUUGCAAUAGCAAUUUGUCUUUUUCAUAGAUGUUGCUAUGCUUAUUCAAAUACUGUGAAAUUUAUACAGCAGUCUAUUCAUGGUAUUUAGAGGCUACUAUAAUUUUUGUAGAAUUUACUGUGCAUGUUUGAUAUAUGUUCCUUAAUACACCUUAUUAUCCAAAUAAAUUAAGAAAUGCAUUAAAUAACUUUAUUUGGAAAUGACCACUAUGUUUUCUGGUGUUCUUUAGAUAUAUGCAAACUGUUGGUAAUAAUGGUUUUGCUCAAAUGCAUGUUUGAAAUAUAAGUUAAUAAUUAAUUGUUUGCAAUUGUUAUUUCUGGACAGUUUCGGGAACUGUUUGGAUUACAAUGUGUAAAUGAUGUUUUCUGGGAAUCUUGUUUAUAGUAAAGUUGUAGAUAAUUCAUUUAUCUAGCUGCUGUCAAAAUUUGGUGGCAUUUGGUUAUGUGGUUUGUAUGUUAUGGCUGUUCACAGUUGAGUUUCAGAAAUGGUUGCUCUCUGUCUUGUUAGGACCUGAUUCUGUAAUUCUAAUAUUUCGACCUGCCAAACUUAUGAAUCAUGCUUUGAUAUAUAAAUAUGAAAUGUAGAUAAUUUCCUAAGCUUUUCAGAAUGUCUUCUUUCAUGUCUUUUCGAAUUGUGUAACUCCAGUUAUGAUUUAUUAUCUCAGCUACUGUUAACAGUCCUAAAAAUAACAGAUUCCUUGUAUUGCUGUUGCUUGGUAUAUUGCUAGGUGUGACUCAUGUCUUUGAUAAUGGCCAUGUUAUUACACCUGAAAUCUUGUGAAACAUGUAUGCCAUGCCUGAUAUACUUGGUUGCAUUCUUUUCUAUUUUAGUAUGUAGGUUUGUGUGAUGUUUAAGUAAUCAAUGAGAAGUGCUUAUGUAUGUUUAGUGUAACCAUGCUCUUGACAUACUUCUUGUGUGUGAUGCUUUAUCUAUUGCACUUCUAUGUGUUCAUACACUUGCAUCUUGCAUCUCAUUUAGGUACGCUAGAUGAACUACGUGAAGGACUUUAUGGUGGACCUAACCGGAUGAUGGAAGGACUACACAAGUGUUGUCACCUUAGAUGUCGUUCAGACGGUGUAAGCUGACAUAACUGACUUGUGUCGGAUUCCAGGCAAGCCCCGGAGCAUUUUAAGUCUCCUACCCUCUGUUUUUAUAAAAGCACAAGAGUAUAACUUUAUAUGAUGCAUUAGGUGAUAGGAGUUGAAUGAAACCGUUGGUGCAUAUAUUCCUACCUUGUCCACUAUAUGAAACUACCUGAACCCUUAACGUUCUAUGCUUAGCUAUGCUUAGCUCGGUAGAAGCCGGGUGAUUUCCUGUCACCUGCGAGAGAUAGGUGGAUACCUGAUCACGGUUGGCUAUAUUUGCUAUCGUGGAAAUAACCAUGUGCUAAUAAUGAAUUUGAGACCGGGCGGGAUGACGAUAGUGAAGCAACAAGGCAUGGAGGUCUUGGGUGUGAAUCUAUCCCCGUUUGUGUCGUUUAAGGACCGAUACGCUGUACGUCCUCGUGUCAUGUUGAACGCAUGCCUACCACUUAGCUGGCCGGAUAAGUCGUUCCGACCGCGAAGCCUACGAGUGCAACUCCGGCCGGAUACCCCGAUCUGGUUAAAGUGCGCACCCCGGUUGGUAGUAAGGAUGUGCGGGGAGUCAAUGGCGUAAGACCGAGGAGUCAGGUUAGAGUCCUGACCCUGGCAGAUUGGCGGUCCCUGGGGGUGCGGCGCCGUACGGACCCGCGAAUUGGUCCGGAGUUGUGCUAAAGGUGAUCCAAGCUACUCUAGCUAAGUACGCCUGGGUGAGUGCUAGGAAUACCCCUCCAGCUGGAUAGGAAUCGAUUCGAAUCGCCGUCUCUCCCGGAUAGUGAGAACUUGACUCGAGCAGCGGCAACGUAGAUACACUAAAUGAAACUUAAUGGUUAUGAUGAUGAUGAUGAUGGCUACAUGAUAAACCUGAUACGGUUAUUAAUGUGAUGCUUAAUAAUCAAGUGGUUGCUAUAGAAUAGGUGCAAAUCUAGCUAUGGUAGCUUAAUUGAACUUGAUGCUAAAAUAUUGACUGAAAGGUUGAAAGUAAGGACUCAUGAUAGUAAUGCUCUUUUGGCAAAGUUAUGCUAUCCAACCAACUCCACCAAAAAGCCUUGCAUAUCCUUGAGAGUAUUUUAUUUUCUCUCCUGUCGGGUAAGUCUAGCUAAGUACAUUCGAGUACUCAGGGUUUAUCCCACCCUGUUGCAAGUGAAGUCUUCAGUUUGCUAAAGAUGGUGGCUAACUGCCGGUGGGCUCGGUGAUUCUAUAUAGUGUUCUCAUCUAUAUGCUUUUGUCGGAGGAUGUCACUUAUGCUAGCAAUGUAUUUGAAACUUAUGUUAUUGUAAUCAUUUGAAAGCUAUGUUGUUUUCUAAUCAAUUUGGAAAAUCUAAACUUGUAUUAUUAUUUGUGAACUCUUUUGUAAUAUUAUUUCCGCAGCAAAUCUCCGUGUAUGUGAUAUGUAUUUGCUUAAUCAUGCGAUCUUGGUGUAAAGUUGAUUUACCGAGGUCCUUCGUGACACUCGGCAGACUACCGGGUUUAUAUAAGUGAGAGUAUGCGCGUGUCAACUUGUUAAACGUGGACAGUCAUGCUUAAACUAGUAUAAAUUGGGCGGUUCUGUCACAUCGAGUGCGUCGAGUACGGGGAGGCGGUCGAAAACUCCACCGAGCUCGUCGCAAAGCUCGAGGCCCUAGCCGCUGAGGCUCCAGAGCCCAAGCGCCACGCGGGUAGCUUCGAGCCAGCAGAAGGAACCAAGAAGAUCCCGCUCGACCCUAACAACUCCAACGGCAAGGUGCUGAUGAUCAGUGCCGACCUCGACCCCAAAUUGGAAGCUGUGCUGGUCGACUUUCUCCGUGCAAACGCCGACAUGUUUGCAUGGAGUCCCUCGGACAUGCCAGGCAUACCGAGGGAAGUCGCCGAGCACUCCUUGGAAAUUCGUGCCGCAACGGUUGCGCCGAUUCAACGAGGACAAGCGCAAGAUCAUUGGCGAGGAGAUCCACAAGCUUUUGACGGCCGGAUUCAUCAAGGAGGUUCAUCAUCCCGACUGGUUAGCAAACCCUGUACUAGUUAAGAAAAAGAAUGGGAAAAUGAGGAUGUGUGUCGACUAUACGAGUUUAAAUAAAGCAUGUCCGAAAGUUCCUUUUCCUUUACCACGUAUUGAUCAAAUUGUUGAUUCUACUGUGGGAUGUGAAACCCUUUCUUUCCUUGAUGCAUAUUCUGGUUACCACCAAAUAAAAAUGAAAGAGUCCGACCAGCUCGCGACGUCUUUUAUCACACCUUUUGGGAUGUAUUGUUAUGUAACCAUGUCGUUUGGGCUUCGAAACGCGGGAGCUACGUAUCAACGCUGCAUGCUCCACGUGUUUGGCAAGCACAUAGGGUCGACGGUCGAGGCCUAUGUCGACAACAUCGUAGUCAAAUCAAAGCGGCGAGGAGACCUGAUCCAGGAUCUCGAGAUUGCUUUUAGCUGCUUACGCGCCAACCAGAUUAAGCUCAAUCCUGAGAAAUGCGUUUUCGGCAUGCCUCGAGGCAUGCUCCUGGGUUACAUUGUUUCCCAGCAUGGCAUCGAGGCCAACCCCGAGAAAGUCUCGGCCAUCACAAGAAUGGGGCCGAUCCGAGACAUCAAGGGUGUGAAGAGAGUCACGGGAUGCCUAGCGGCGCUGAGCCGUUUCUUCUCGAGGUUAGGAGAAAAGGCGUUACUAUUAUAUCGGCUCCUGAAGAAAGUCGAGCGUUUCUCUUGGACUCCCGAGGCCGAGGAAGCCCUCGAAAACUUGAAGAAAACGCUGACUUCAGCACCGGUCCUGGUCCCGCCUCAACCUGCAGAACCACUGCUCCUUUACGUUGCCUCAAUGACUCAGGUCGUCAGUGCAGCUGUGGUUGUCGAGAGGCAGGAGGAGGGGCAUAUGUUGCCAGUCCAGAGACCGGUCUAUUUCAUCAGGGAGGUGCUCUCAGAAACCAAGACGCGUUACCCUCAAAUCCAGAAGCUAAUAUACGCCGUAAUCCUCGCCCGACGCAAGCUGCAACACUAUUUCCUCGGCCACCCCAUCACGGUGGUCUCGUCCUUCCCCUUGGGCGAGAUAAUCCAAAAUAGGGAGGCCACGCGAAGAAUAGCUAAAUGGUCGGUCGAGCUCAUGAGUGAGACUCUCACUUAUGCGCCCUGUAAGGCUAUCAAGUCACAAGCCCUGGUGGAUUUCGUUGCGGAAUGGACAGACUCCCAGCUCCCCCAACUCAGGUUCAGUCGGAGCUGUGGACGAUGUAUUUCGAUGGGUCUCUCAUGAAGAUGGGGGCUGGGGCCGGCCUGCUGUUCAUCUCGCCCCUGGGCGUUCAUAUGAGGUACAUCAUCAGAAUUCACUUUGCCGCAUCCAACAACGUCGCAGAAUACGAGGCCCUCGUCAACGGUCUCAAGAUCGCCAUCGAGCUAGGAGUCCGAUGCCUUGACGUCUGAGGCGACUCCCAACUCGUCAUCGACCAAGUGAUGAAGACCCCAAACUGCCACGACCCGAAAAUGGAGGCGUACUGCAAGGAAGACCGUCGACUUGAGGACAUAUUCCAUGGCCUCGAGCUCAUCCACAUCGCCCGACGCUACAACGAGGUGGCCGACGAACUCGCCAAGAUCGCGUCAACCCGAGGCACGGUACCACCUGACGCGUUCUCAAGAGAUCUUCACGAGCCAUCCGUCGACUUGGGCUCGGGGGCUGGCAUCGAUGCCACUCCUGCCCAGCAAACCGACACCGUCGACGCACUACUGACGGCAGCUGAGGUAAUGGAGGUGGAACAACGGCCCGGUCGACCGUUCGACUGGCGCACACCGUUCCUCGACUACCUAAUCCGCUGCGAGCUGCCAGAAGAUCGAUCCGAGGCCCGCCGUAUCGCUCGACGGGCCAAGUCAUAUGUGAUCUACGGCGAGGGCAACGAGCUAUAUUGACGGAGCCCGACGGGGGUCUUGCAGCGUUGCAUCACCGUGGAAGAAGGCCGGAAACUCCUCGAGGACCUACACUCGGGGGCUUGUGGCCACCAUGCUGCUCCACGGACCCUCGUAGGGAACGCCUUCCGACAAGGCUUCUACUCGCCAACGGCCGUAGCUGAUGCCAUCGAGCUCGUACGCUCACGCCACGGGUGCCAGUUCUAUGACAAACAGACUCAUUUGCCCGCCCACGCUCUUCAGAUGAUCCCCAUCACAUGGCCAUUUGCGGUGUGGGGGCUCGACUUAGUAGGGCCUCUACAAAAGGCAAAAGGAGGGUACACCCACUUGCUGGUGGCUAUCGACAAGUUCUCCAAAUGGAUCGAAGCUCGACCCAUCACCAACAUCCGCUCCGAACAGGCCGUCCUUUUCUUCACCGACAUCAUCCACCGAUUUGGGAUCCCCAACGUCAUCAUCACCGACAAUGGCACUCAGUUCACGGGCAAGAAGUUCUUGGACUUCUGCGAUCAGCAUCACAUCCGUGUGAACUGGUCUGCAGUAGCCCAUCCUCGAACUAACGGCCAGGUCGAGUGUGCCAACGGCAUGAUUUUGCAGGGGCUCAAACCAAGGAUCUACAAUCGCUUGAAGAAAUUCGGCAAGAAGUGGGUCGAGGAGCUUUCCUCGGUCUUAUGGAGCCUAAGGACGACGCCAAGCAGGGCCACAAAAUACACCCCAUUCUUCAUGGUCUACGGCUCUGAGGUUGUCCUCCCCACAGACCUCGAGUAUGGGUCCCCUCGACUUACAGCGUACAACGAACAAUCAAAUAAAGAAUCUCAAGAGAACGCGGUCGACCAACUCGACGAAGCUCGAGAUAUGGCCCUCAUCAACUCUGCUAGGUACCAACAGAAGCUUCGACGCUACCACGACAAGCACGUGCGCAGGAGGGACUUGAACGUGGGAGACCUCAUUCUACGUCGGCGACAAAGCAACCAAGGACGCCACAAGCUGACCCCACCAUGGGAGGGCCCAUAUAUGGUGGCCGAGGUCUUGAAGCCAGGGACAUACAAGCUUGCGGACGAAAAGGGGGCGGUCUUCACCAACGCAUGGAACAUCAAACAGCUACGUCGAUUCUACCCCUAGAAUUUCAAAGCUUUAUGCUCCUACGUAUGCUUUGUACCAAGGCCUUGUAAAUGAAUGUACGAAUAAAUGAAGUCUUUCCCUCGAGCGAUUUACUUUUGCACAAGUCUCAAUGAUAGAAGGGAGUAUCGACUACGACCUAUCAUAGUCGACACUCCCUCGGGGGCUAGCAAGGGGGGCGACCCCCCCAAGUGUCGAAAAAAUCUAGCAAUCCUUUCAUUCCUAUCGGUAAUCUCACACGGUUGAGUAGUAAAGGUACCUCGAGACCCUUAAGGGAUGAGAAACGACAAGCCUGAGAACUCCUACGCCCCUGGGCUAUGGAAACUCUACUCGCCUCCUCACCCUUGAGGCAAUCAAGACCGCCUCGAACAAAAGACCAAGUGAGAAAAAACAAACAUAGGCACAAAAAGGAAAAAAAAGAAGCCUUGAGAGAAAAGGUAGACAAACAUAUAACAAACACUUAAAGAUACUGUAUCACUUGAAAACAGGAUUAACAAAGUACUAUACAAGGGGCCCCAUGCACCCUGAGCAGGCUCGCAGGCCUUAGCCCACAGCACGGUCCUCACCACCCUCGCCUGCGCCCGAGCUAGUCUCAUGGGGAAGCACCUCAGGCUCAAAUAGCUUGGCCAGCCUCUCUCCAGGAGCCUCCACGUCGUCAAUCAAGGCAUGGAGCCUCUCUUUGUUCUCCGCGUCGGUCUUGGAGAUGUCGGUGACGAAGCCGUGGGACACCACCUCCAUGACGUAGGAGAAGCCUGAGCAGACGACCGCCAUUGCUCGCCUCACCCCGAUGUGGAGGGCAUCCCGCACCCGAUCUCUCAGCGUCGCGCCUAAGUAGCAUAGCUGGUCGACCAGUGCGUUGCCUCGAGCGUCCUCCUUCGACUCGUCCAUGGGCUUGAUCUCCCAAGUGGUCGAGAGAUCGCUUAUCGCCGUCCGCACUCGACGGUUCAAAGCAACCUCCGCCUCGAGCUGGGCUUUAGCAUGGCGGGCCUCGACUUGGGCGGCCAAAAGUUCGUCCUUAAGCCCUGUGAAUGCCAACGCAAAAAACUUUAGGAAAAACCAAGCACACCUCGAAAAGGAAAUCCGACAAUAGAAACGUACCACGAAUGCUCUCCUCCAGGGCCGUGUUCUCGCCAACCAAUUUAGUGUUGGCCAUCUCGAUCUCUUUAUUGGAGCGUGCCAGCUCAGUAUUGGCGACUCAAAGAUCCUCGAUCGCCUUGCCAGCCUGAGCAAUGGCUCCACUCUUCUCCAACAGUUCUCCCUUCAGACGGUCGACGUCGUCAGAGAGGCUGCGGGAUCGAGCCCGCUCCGCCUCGAGGUCUUCGAGGGCCUUCUUCUUCGCUUCCUCCAUGGCCCCCCUGGCGACCUCGCUGUCCACGUACGCCACCUUCAUCCUUUGAAAGGAGUCUCGGAGGGAGUCCAGGUCGGCCUUGAGAACGCCCUUCUCCCUGUCCAAGUCAGCAAUGACGUUCUUGUAGGACAGGGCCUCCUCCCGGGCUUUGGACGCGGCCUCCUAGACCGUCAGAGCCCACUCCCGCAGCAGCAUCGUCUCCUCCACCGCCUUCCUUGAGGCCUCCCGAGCCUCGACCAAGGCAGCCUCUCUCGCCUUCUUCUCCUCCUCGAGCGCUAUGAGGUCUUUAUAAGCCUUAAGGAGUUUUUCCUGUGACUCGAGGAGUUGGUCCUUCAGGACGGGGAGCUGCUCCCAGCUGCCUCUUGUGGCGUGAAUGAAGCUCGACUUGAUACGGGAGGUCUCUUUCAUAUCCUGUGAGUCGGUGGUCGAACGGUUAGAACACGAAACCAAAGGAUCUAUAAGAAUCAAGGACCGAAAAAUACUUACGAAGUAGGCCGGCCCGAGCCCGUUGUUGAUGACGUCCGAUAGGAGCCCCACCAUGUGCUUCAUCCAAAGGCGGAGCUCCUCGACAUGUUCCCAUUUCUCCGCCUCCUUCCUAUCGUCCACGAAGAUGUUGGGCUCAGACGGGUCGGUGGAAGCCCGGAUGCGGAUCCGAUCGGGGCACCAGUUCUCCAUCUCCCAGUCGGCCCGCGCCUUGACGCCACGAAUAAGGUCCUCGACGGCCUCGAGGGAUCCCACAUGGCGCAGGAACAAGUCGACGAUGGAAGGGAACCGCCCGUCGUCGUCCACCGUCUUCCAGGUACCGUCUUGGCUACCCGACGUCCCGGCCUCAUCCUCCUCGGCAGGGAUGUGGUCCUCCCACGCCCGGCGCUCCCGGAGGAACCCUGGGGCGAUCCCGUCCAUGCCGUAGAUCGUCCUCCUGAUCUCGGACUCGGGGUCGGCGGGGGUACGCAUCAUGCAGGCAAGCGCUACCACACCGUCCGCUCGCCCCCGCUCUGCUGGGAUCGCGGCGGGCGCCCCAGGGCGGAGCCACGCCGGGGUCGGAGGACCAAAAACCGGCAAAUCCUCCUCCUGGCCUCCGGGUUCUUGCGGCGCUGGUGGUACAGGUUGGGGCGGACUGUGAGGAGGGGGCUCGAGCAGUUGCUGCUGCUGCUGCUGUUGCUCCUGCAGCAGCUGCUGCGACUCCUGCUGUUGCUGCUGUUGCUCCUCCUGCUGCUACUACUGUUGCUCCUCGAGCUCCUGCGACUCUUGUCGGUAGCCCUGCUCCUGCGGCUGCUGCCUUGCCUCGCGCUCCCGCUCCUCCUCCUCCUCCUUUUUAUUCUGCUCCUCGAGGGCGCGAAGACCAGCAGGCCAGGGAGUCCGUCCCGCGACGAGGGAGCUCGACGCGUCCUCCUCCAUAGGGCGGGCAUCCCUCGACGUCUCGUUGCCACCAGACGUGUCACUGAUGGUAAUAGGAUCCUCCUCGACCCCCGAUCGGGGAGGCUCGGGGACUCCCCCUUGCCCUUGGGUUUUGGGCGCCUCGGUCCGUGUCGGCGGCGACGGGGCAGACUCGGGACGAGGCGGGGCACUCUCAAGACCGGUCGGAGGAUGGGAGUCGGAGGAGCGUGUAAAACAGAGAAUAAAGGCCGGUCACUAUGAUGACUAGCGGAAGAACAACUCAAGUCCCAAAAGUAAGCUACCAACCUGAUUCCUUGGAGGCCACUCCCACCUUGAGCUUCAUCGCCAUCGAAGGCUGGGCCUGCUCGAGCGUCCGUUUCAACCUAAGGAAGGAAGAACAGGCGUAAAGGAGACUGCUACAUGAGAAAACGCAGAGGAACAGGAGAACAAAAAUCACAACAUCGAAGAACUUACCCUACAGGGAGAACAGCUCGCCUGCCGGUGCCCCGACCGGUGGGCCUCGAGCCACCCCGCGUCAAGGUCCCGGGCCCCUCGAGGACAGGCGCUGGCCUUGGCCCAGCAACUUCCGCUUGGCGGGCACCGGGACUGGUGCUCCUGCGGCCAGUCUCUCCUUUCUCGGAGGCCGCGGCGCGACCGCGAGUCAGUGGCCCCAUCGCCUGGGGCCUAGCAUGGCUACCCAUCUUGGGCGCAGGGGGAGGGCGUGGGGCGACCUGACCAGUCGCGGGCACAGGGGGGUGUCGCCACGAGGGCGGUGAGAUCCACCUGGUCCCUCCUUUGGUGUUUCCAUCCGUGGGGCGUCGACGUCGCCUCGAGGCGGACCCUCAAGGAUCCGGUCGAGGCGACAUGCCAUCCCCUCGGAGUCGUCGCUGUCCUCAUCACCAUCUCCACCAUCAUCGUCGCUGGGGGAUUCUUCCUCGGGUUCCCCCCUCUGCCUGGAUUUAGCUCGACGCGCCUCUAAUGCUUGGCGGUUGAGGUUCUUCUUUUUCUCUCCUUUCUUUGCAGAAUCCUUGGCGGACUUUUGCUUCUCGGCGGACCGGCGCCGCGCGUCACGGUCGACCUCGUCCUCCUUUGCCGGAUGCCGCGAGGACCGGACAUCAAUCCGCCCCUGCCAGAACAAAGGCAGACUCAGAAAAGGGGUAGAAAGAAAUCCAGAAUCAAAGCUAUACACGAAAAGACAACAUACCAGAUCAAUCGAGCCCGCAUCAGGCCUCAUGGGGAAGCCGUUAACAUGCUCCGGCUUAAAGUCACCAGCAAUGGCGGCCCUGACCCUUGCCACGACUUCGUCGUUCGCCGGAGCCUCGCUCGACAUCCGGCACGCCUCGAGGUCCCGAGAUGAGGCGCCGGGGGCCAUCUCGUCCAUCCUCAGCGGUCGAGACAUCAAUGGGAGAACUCUCCGGUGAUGGACGGCCGAGAGGACGAGAGCGGCAGUCAAGCCUUCCGAGCGCAGCUUCUUCAUGACGUCGAGGAGGGGGUCGAGCCGAGAUUGAUGAACUUGGACGACGCCGUACGUCCAAUUCUCCGGACGCUCCGUGAUCAGACGCCCGGUGUAGGCGGGCAGGAGAUCGUCGUCAUUCCUCAAGUAGAACCACUGGGAAUCCCAGCCGGCGUGGUUAGUCGACAGUCCCACUGGGAUGUACUCACGUGGCCUCUUCGUCUUCCCCAUCUUCAGCACGACAUUGAGGCAGCCCGCCCGCACAGGCUUCCUCACGCCGGUGGUCCCAGUGGGGGCGUUGAAGAGCUCGCCCCUGUAGAGGUGGAGCCAUAGCUCCUAGUGGGGCAUCAUCCCCAAAUAGCUCUCACACACCGCGGCGAAGACCGCCGCGAUGGUGAUGGCGUUUGGGGACAAGUGCUGGAGCUCCACCCCAUAAUGGUGGUAGAGCUCCCGCGUGAAGCGGCUCGGGGGAGCGCCCAGGCGGUGGCGGUGGAACUUGGCGAACGAAACCACAUAGCCCUUGGGCGGCCUGGGCUCCCUGUGGUCCGCCGGCGGCACGAUCCACUUCGGCGACGACAGCGAGGUGCGGUGGCGCAGGAGUCCCUCCCUCUCAAGCUCUAGCAGCCGGCGCUCCGUCAUCGACGACGGACGCCAGUCGUCGGCGACGACAAGUCUCACAGGCAUCCUAGCCGAAGGGAUGGCGAAUUCGCUACUACUCGAGGGGGACACGCGCGCGUGAGAUGGCAAGAGCAGUAAGGCAAUGAGAGGGCUAAGGCGAGAGUGAAGACGAGAGGCAGAAGGGAGAACGGUGGCGGCGCCAAGGCACAUUUAUAGGCAGUUGUCCACCAAUGGGCAGAUCCGAUAAAUGAGGUAACUCCCCCCAUAAAUGCACCGUCUAAUGGUCCUUUCCCUCCUCACAGGUGGGGCGCUCCGAAUUCCACGCCGACGCAGUGUCGUAACGUCUCCCACCUAAAAAGGCGCGCCCAACGGGCAAGAAGGCAAACCGCCCACGGUCUUUUCCUUCCCUUGUAAGCCAAGGAGUGUACCCGUGAAAGCCUCGAGAGGUCGCAGGCUGGCCCACCGAAAGGGUUCGACAGCCGAUCUCGAGCACCAGAGUCAGGGAUCCCCAGCGAGUGGUCGAAGAUCGAGGCCCGUCUCGAAGACUUGCUGGGGAUGUCCAAGGUAGGGUCGAGAAAGUCGAGAGGAAUCCCCCCAACGGGAGGCAUCGAGCCGCUGGACUCUAUCGAAUGAGACCAGUAUCCCCGACCACAUCGACCCUGCUUUAUGAGAACGCCUCCGGACUACAGCUGACCCCCUCGAAAAGGGGCACAGGUUCUCACUUGGACUAUCUGCUAGAAACUCGACUUGGGGUGGAAGACGCUCGCUCUAUCGAGAGUACGUCGAAACCCCCGCACAAAACAAGCCAAUCAGGACCUUCCACCACCGGUGUCGAUAGCGAUUCUGAGAGUUAGGCAAUAUAACCCUCGAAGGAGUCAAAAACUCCUCCAAGGGUUCGGGGGCUACCCCCGUGGGGUCGCUCGCGCGCCCCCACGGAAAUUCGACCGCAAAAUAAAGCCUCCACUCGAGCACCAGCGCUCGAAUGGAGACUCGGGGGCUACUGUCGAGGGUAUCAGUAAGGGGUACCCUAACUGACGCACAUAACGAGAUUACCCGUGCACAGAUCGAGGCCCUCAACUCGACGUACUAAUAAGCCGUGCGGUCAUCGACGGCCGCAGCCUCGAAGACGUAAAUGACGUCGAGCGAACCACUCAAGGGUCCAGCGCUAACUACCGUCGAAUACGGAAAUGGGCUCGAGCGAAUCGGGAGGCGUCGAGCGCAAGGACACUGUCCGCCGCUUGACGCGCGCCCGAGAGCCAGGGCAUUUAAUGCGCCUAUCACUUUCCCACCUAACACGUUGGUCACGGGAAGCGUGAUAGGGAACAGGCACCCGUCCCAUCAUUCUUUUUGCAGCUUUCCCCACCAAACGGCUCAGAGCGUACCAGGACGCGGGAAGCAGGGAUGGAGCGUCUAAUCUGGACCUCCUCGAGACACCCAAGGUCAACGCUUUGGACAACAAGGCAGUGCACGGCGUCUAACCCUCGACCAGGCAUGAUUCCUGCCUGGGGAAGAGUUGGGCAUCGACUGACAACACCGCAGCCACUCCGCCAGAUCUGCCGCUAUACCGUACAGGCGUGCGACCGGUGAACCAGCCCGAGACGGCGCGCAGAGCAGGAUACUGUUGACGGUCCUUAAUGCUCAUAUUUAACCAUCAACUAAUCAUAGAAAAGGAUCCAAAUGCAACCAACACCUAGACUUAGGGUUUUAUCUGACAGAAUUCCACGAGUUUUGGUGUUUGUCUAUUUCUGCAGGGGGUUAUCAGGAAAUACGGAAGAAAGGCCCACACGUCGGGAUUACAUAGAGAUAUUAACGUGCCGUGCAAUUUUCUAUCAUCUAGAAGACUCCAGAAGCCACAGGAACGAACGGGAGGCCUAGCGGGCCCGGAGGCAGGGCGCCCGCCCUACCCCCCUGGGCGCCCGCCCUCCUCUGCUGGCCAAUCAGCACGAGUCUCGGGGAUUAUGCCCCAUCGACUCUAAGGAUCGAGGAAAAUCACACGAUGAAGGUCGGUUUGAUCGGAUGGUGGAGAAUAACGUGGAAAUUCCUUGGGAGCUACUCUUCCUAGAUUUCUUGGGGGCUACUCUUCCUAGAUUUCUUGGGGGCUACUCUUCCUGGACUAUAUAAGCAGACCCCCACCAGCCCCUGGAGGCAUACCUCUUCUACGGAAUCAAAGCUAGGGUUUCAAUUCUUCAUCCAAUUAGAGAGGAUCCCUCUAGUUAUUCUAGUUCUACCUCUAGUUCAUCUAGAUCUAGUUCUAGUUCAUCUAGUUCUAGUUCUAGUUCCUCUAGUUCUAGUUCUAGUUAGUUCUAGUUGUAAUCUAGAAAAUAGGGAGAGAGAAGAGGAGAGCGGAGGAGGAGCCGGAUCUGUCGGAUCUUCCUCAACAUUGUACUUUUGCAGCAUCUGGUUCGUUCUUCAUCGUUCUCCAGGUUCUUCAACUCAUAACUCCUGAGUUCUCUAAUUAUUUUUAUUUACAUUCAAGUUAUUUAUUGGAUUCCCGCUUGCAUCAAGUGCUCUAGUCUUUGAAACAUUAGAGUAGUAAUUAAUAGAUUAGACGUGGUGUUUAGUCUUGCGAUUACCUGGAAUUGCACCCAAUCCUACGGAUUGUUGUGGUAGCCCUAGGGUAGUGACAGCCCUAACGGUCGACGUAUUCCACCACGUUCGGAUCGGUGUUUGUAGGACCGUAGUCAGACCUUCCUAGCCCCCUUCUCAUCUCUUUCUGUGGUUAGUGCUCUAAUGUCCCGAUAUAGAUAAUCUUGAAGUAAUCCUUGAUUCUUAGAUCAACUAGAGAACUCUCAGGAAACUUCCUCUCUUCCCACCAAAAAUAAUUAUAUAGUUAUCCUUGGGCGAUCUUGAAUCUUAAUUAGUACACUCACGUUCUCUGUGGAAAAUCGAUACUCUGGAAUACUCCCGGGUGAAAGCUACAUCGGUAUCCGUGCGCUUGCGGAUUUUUUCUGUUUGCGUUUAAAAUACCCAACAAGCUUUCUGGCGCCGUUGCCGGGGAACGGUAGCUGUGCUAGUUUCGAACCAAGUCGUCCGUGUAUCCUUUUUCUUUUCCUUUUAUACCACACUCACCUUACCAUUUUCACCACACCACAUGGAUUUCACUCCUAUCUAUAAAUUCUUUGCUCCAAAGGGCGAGUUGUUAGAACCACCACCAUCAUCACAUCCAAUUCUUACAGAUGGCUACGACCUCGGCCCUGAUCUAAUUGCCAUGAUUCAGGAGCAAUCCUUCUCUGGGCAAGUAGAUGAAGAUCCAUACACCCACCUUAGAGAAUUUGAGCAGUUGUGCUCUUGCUGAUCUAUUUUCGGCAUGACACAAGAAACCCUUAAAUGGAAAUUAUUUCCGUUCUCCCUUUUGGGAAGAGCAAAAAAGUGGUAUGCUCAUUCUGUAGGAGGCGUUAAUGGAAGUUGGGAAGAACUUCGAGACAACUUUUGUCUCGCUUUCUUCCCACUUUUUCGAAUUGCUGACCUUAGAAUUGAAAUUCUUACAUUCAAACAAAGAGAGAAGGAAACUUUAGGAGCAGCUUGGGCUAGGUUCACAAGCCUUACCAAUUCCGGUCCAAACCUUUCCCUGCCUGACCAUGUACUGUACUACCACUUUUAUCGUGGUCUAAGCAAGGAGGCUGCUCUUCACCUCGACAUUGCUUCAGGAGGCUCAUUCACACACAAGCUCACAGAUGAGGGGAGAGCUAUCCUAGAGAGAAUCCUUGAAAAUACCCCUUACACAGGCAUUUAUGAUGAGUUUCCUGAAGAAGAAAAAGAAGUUGAGCCUAAUCCUAAACCAAAAGAAGAGGAACUUGCAACCGAGUUAGAAAUUCCACCUGACCCACCUAUUAAUUUGGUUGUAGAGAAACCUCCUGAUAAGGGAAUGCAAAACCAACUAAAGGAUGAUGAACCACCACCUUUACAGCAUCCCUUUGAAUUCGAGGAAGAUCUUUUUGAAGAUUAUGGAAACACCUCAAAUUUUCCUAUCCAAACACGACCUCUAGCAAGGACCACUCAAUCCAUUCUAAGAGUAGAAUCUGUUGACAUAGAACACAUCAAAAGCCUUUCGGCUAUUCUGAGUUAUGAAUGGCUAACAGAAGCAGAGCUGUCUCCUGAGGUAGCUCGAAUCAUCACUCCUUCAACCAUUCUUCUGUGCCAAAUUAGAAGGUCCGCUAGGAAGGUCCACUACAAUCCAUAUGUUGGGAUAAAUGUUAUUUCCAAGGAGUUAGCUGACACUCUUUAUCCCAACGAGUCCAUAACCCCAUCUCAAAAACUUUUACAAAGUCCAUCUAGAUUAAUUCUAGAAAUCCAUGGGGUAUUAAGGGCAGUUCCUGUUAGAAUCAAGGACUCUGGAAUAUGUCUAGAUUUUCACAUUUUUGACAUACAUGAGAUUCCUCUCUUGAUUGGUAGACCAAUCAUAAAACUUCUACAUGAACAACCACAACGAGGUCAUUUAGACUUCAAGGUUGGGAAUUCCACUAUUGUUGUUCCUCUUGCUAGAUCAAUUAACACGAUAGUGGAACCCAAACUUGACCCAGAUCCUAUUGAGGAGAUCUUAAUGGUGACUCAAGAGGAGAUGACCCAACCAUUCUUUAAUCAUGAACACUUUGUUCAAGAAGAAGAAGAGUUGGUAGAACCCGUUGAGCUAGAUAAAAAUGAACAACCUUCACCUCCUUCGAUAGAGUUAAAACCUCUUCCUUCUGGCCUUAGAUAUAUCUUCUUGCACAACAACCCAAACACUCUAGUAAUUAUCAGUGACAAGCUUUCCGAUUAUGAAACACAACAACUUGUCACUGUUCUUGAAAGACAUAGAUCAGCAUUUGGCUACUCUCUCGAGGAUCUCACGGGCAUUAGUCCCAUUCUCUGCACUCAUCGUAUCCCUAUUGAUCCCAAUUUUACACCUUCCAGGGAACCACAACGGAGACUUAACAAUGCUAUGCGAGAGGUUGUUAAGAAAGAGGUCCUGAAACUCUAUCAUGCUGGGAUUAUUUAUCCUGUGCCACAUAGUGAGUGGGUUAGCCCUGUCCAAGUAGUGCCAAAGAAAGGAGGAAUGACGGUCGUUAGGAAUGAGAAGAAUGAACUCAUCCCUCAACGAAUUGUCACUGGGUGGCGUAUGUGUAUUGACUAUCGAAAACUCAAUAAGGCUACAAAGAAAGAUCACUUUCCGUUACCCUUCAUUGAUGAAAUGUUGGAACGGCUUGCAAACCACUCUUUCUUUUGUUUCCUUGAUGGUUAUUCUGGAUAUCACCAAAUCCCAAUCCACCCAGAUGACCAAGAAAAGACUACCUUUACAUGCCCAUAUGGAACUUGUGCAUACCGACGAAUGUCGUUCGGAUUGUGCAAUGCUCCAGCUUCUUUCCAACGGUGCAUGAUGUCUAUUUUCUCGGACAUGAUUGAGAAGAUCAUGGAGGUUUUCAUGGAUGAUUUUACCGUCUAUGGCAAAACCUUCGAUCAUUGUUUGGAGAAUUUAGAUAGAGUCUUGCAGCGAUGUGAAGAAAAGCAUUUAAUCCUGAACUGGGAGAAAUGCCAUUUUAUGGUUCAGGAAGGAAUAGUGCUAGGACAUAAAGUGUCCGAACGUGGUAUAGAGGUGGACAAAGCAAAGAUUGAAGUUAUUGAAAAACUUCCACCUCCCACGAAUGUGAAAGGAAUCCGUAACUUUUUGGGACAUGCAGGGUUCUAUAGACGCUUUAUCAAAAAUUUCUCUCAAAUUGCUAGACCCCUAACUAAUCUCCUAGCUAAGGAUGCACCUUUCAUCUUUAGUGAUGAGUGUCAUGGAUCUUUUCAAACUCUUAAGAAAGCACUCAUCUCAGCCCCGAUUAUCCAACCACCUGAUUGGAAUCUUCCUUUUGAGAUCAUGUGUGAUGCUAGCGAUUUUGCGGUUGGGGCCGUUUUAGGACAAACCAAGGAUAGAAAGCAUUAUGCCAUAUCCUACGCUAGCAAAACCUUGUCUGGACCACAGCUCAAUUACACUACAACUGAAAAAGAGCUUUUGGUUGUUGUCUUUGCUAUAGACAAGUUUAGAUCUUACUUAGUGGGGGCGAAGAUAAUCAUCUAUUCAGACCAUGCUGCUCUCAAGUACCUCCUCACUAAGAAAGAUGCUAAGCCUCGUCUAAUUCGGUGGAUUCUUCUACUCCAAGACUUUGACAUAGAAAUCCGAGAUAGGAAGGGACUUGAGAAUUCUGUAGCCAACCACUUGUCUAGGCUUCAAUAUAAGGAAACACAUGAUGAGCUUCCCAUAAAUGACUACCUAAGGGAUGACACCCUACUUAAGAUAACACAUGCAGAUCCAUGGUACGCAGACAUCGUAAACUUUAUAGUAAAAGGCUAUGUCCCACCUGGUGCAAACAAAAGGAAGUUACUUCACAAUAGUCGUUUCCACCUUUGGGAUGAGCCAUAUCUUUUCCGAGUCUGCGCUGAUGGACUCUUGAGAAGGUGUGUUCCUAUGGCUGAGGCUACUCAAAUUAUGGAAAGAUGCCAUGCCUCGCCAUAUGGAGGACACUAUGGAGCAUUUCGGACACAUGCUAAAAUUUGGCAAAGUGGUUUUUUCUGGCCAACGAUGUAUGAAGAUACAAAGGACUUUGUCAGGAGAUGCCACCGGUGUCAAAAACAUGGGAAUAUUAACUCACGAAAUGAAAUGCCUCUCACAAAUAAUCUUCAAGUAGAACUUUUCGAUGUUUGGGGCAUUGAUUUCAUGGGGCCAUUCCCUAUGUCCGGGAAUUGCGAGUAUAUCUUAGUAGCUGUGGACUACGUGUCCAAAUGGGUAGAAGCCCUACCUUGUCGAUCAGCUGAUUCAAAACAUGCCAAGAGAAUGUUCCAUGAAGUAAUCUUUCCUCGCUUUGGUAUACCCCGGAUAGUUAUAAGCGAUGGAGGUUCUCACUUCAUCGACAAAAUCUUCCGAAAGUACUUAGCUGAUCAUGGAGUUCGACACAACGUUGCAACACCAUACCAUCCUCAGACUAGCGGUCAAGCCGAAACAUCUAAUAAACAAAUCAAAAAUAUUUUACAAAAGACCGUAGAUGAGAUGGGUAAGGGGUGGAAGGACAAACUUCCUGAUGCACGUUGGGCAUAUAGAACUGCAUUCAAAACACCCAUAGGCAUGUCACCUUAUCAACUUGUAUAUGGAAAAACUUGUCAUUUGCCUUUGGAAGUAGAGUUUAAGGCUCAUUGGGCACUCAAGAAAUGGAACAUGGAUCACCACCUUGCUAGCGAUAAUCGUCUGAUGCAACUAUCUGAGCUAGAAGAAUGGAGAGAGAAAGCCUACCACAAUUCAAGGAUCUAUAAAGAAAGAACAAAACGAUGGCAUGAUAAGAGAAUCAAGCACAAGGAGUUUAAGCCUGGAGAUAAGGUUCUACUAUUCAAUUCUAGAGUUAAGCUCUUUGGGCAUGGUAAGCUACGAAGUAAGUGGGAUGGACCAUACAAGGUUAUUGACACUUCAACUCAUGGAGCCAUUACCAUCCAAGACGACCUAGGUAACACCUUUAAGGUAAAUGAUCAACGCUUGAAAAUCUAUCUUGAGCCACAAAACAACCUGGCAGAGGAGCUUGAUGUGAUUGAGUUUAUAGAAUUCUCAUAUUAAGCUCUCAUAAGCUCUAGACAAUUACCUAACCCUUAACAUGUUCCACAAGUUUUGUUGUCUAUUUGGGUUGUGCAGGAUUUUGAGGCUUAAGAAGAGUGAGACCGAACAUGCAGGCCACCAGAGUGAACGACUAUGUCAACAUCCAGCUUGGGCGAGGCACCCCAACAUGUAUCUAGAUAAGUAUUACUUUUCUUUCUUGGUUUUAUUUAUUAGUAUUCGGAAAAAAAAAUGCAUAACCAUGAAACCAAACAAAGUUUUUCUUUUGAGUAAUAUACAAUAGUUUUGUGUAAUCCUAAGUUUUAAAUAAAAUAAAAAGAAAGUUUGAUUCAAGUCUAGGUAAUUGACAAACAUGAUAUUUGCAGGUCUGAGCUACUAUUUAACUUGUUCCAAGUUUUGCUAGAGUUCUGGAGAUUUUUUCUUUUGAAAAUCUAAAAAUUCAUAAAAUAUAUAUAUAUAUAUAGAUCAUAAUACCUAGAGUCUUAUAUAAAUAUUAAAACUGUGGGCACUUGCUUUGUUGAAGCCAUUGUUAAUUCUUGUAGUUUUGGUUGAGAGAAUUAUCAUGCUCCAAAGAUCAAGAUCUUUUUGUUUUAAUAAAAAUAUAAAAGAUUCACUCUUCCGAAGUAUUAUUGCGUUAGAGGCAUGGGAAUAUGUAAAAAUUUGAUUCAAAAGAAAAAAAAGUGAGACGAGAGGUAAAAAUGGACAAGUGUCCGAAGUAGAAUUAGGGGUACAAAGAUACCCACCUGAGUGGAAAAACUGGACAUGUGUCCGACAGUAGAAUUAGGGGUACUUGCUGCCCACUCAAAAAAAAGAGACUGAAAAAAAAAGAGAAAAAAAAUGAUAGCCCAUGGUCCCUCUAAUAAGCAAUAUGCCAUUAAGAGAUGACAAACUUCUCAAAAAGGUCAAAGGUCUUGAUCUAGGAGUAUGACAUUCCUCUCCCUUACUCCGAGCGUUGACAUAGCAAAAUGCAAAGUAAGUAUGCUAAAACUUUUAAAGCUCUACUUAUAUAUCUUUCGAGAAGAAGGCAAAUACCUCAGUUUUAUUUUACAGACUCAUAAAAAAAAACUCCAGAACAAAGGUAAGACAGAAGAACUUGAGACGUAGUGCUUGACUUGAUCAUUCUGUUUUUCAAUCACUUAAGACCUUAGUGAUAAAUUAAAAACCCUGUAGUAAGAGGCAUAAAAGUAACCCCUGUUUUCUUGUUGAUUUUAGCUUUGCUCAGGGAUGAGCAAAGGUUAAGCUUGGGGGAGCUUGCUAACGGUCCUUAAUGCUCAUAUUUUACCAUCAACUAAUCAUAGAAAAGGAUCCAAAUGCAACCAACACCUAGACUUAGGGUUUUAUCUGACAGAAUUCCACGAGUUUUGGUGUUUGUCUAUUUCUGCAGGGGGUUAUCAGGAAAUACGGAAGAAAGGCCCACACGUCAGGAUUACAUAGAGAUAUUAACGUGCCGUGCAAUUUUCUAUCAUCUAGAAGACUCCAGAAGCCACGGGAACGAACGGGAGGCCUAGCGGGCCCGGAGGCAGGGCGCCCGCCCUACCCCCCUGGGCGCCCGCCCUCCUCUGCUGGCCAAUCAGCACGAGUCUCGGGGAUUAUGCCCCACCGACUCUAAGGAUCGAGGAAAAUCACACAAUGAAGGUCGGUUUGAUCGGAUGGUGGAGAAUAACGUGGAAAUUCCUUGGGAGCUACUCUUCGUAGAUUUCUUGGGGGCUACUCUUCCUAGAUUUCUUGGGGGCUACUCUUCCUGGACUAUAUAAGGAGACCCCCACCAGCCCCUGGAGGCAUACCUCUUCUACGGAAUCAAAGCUAGGGUUUCAAUUCUUCAUCCAAGUAGAGAGGAUCCCUCUAGUUCUUCUAGUUCUACCUCUAGUUCAUCUAGAUCUAGUUCUAGUUCUAGUUCCUCUAGUUCUAGUUCUAGUUAGUUAUAGUUGUAAUCUAGAAAAUAGGGAGAGAGAAGAGGAGAGCGGAGGAGGAGCCGGAUCUGUCGGAUCUUCGUCAACAUUGUACUUUUGCAGCAUCUGGUUUGUUCUUCAUCGUUCUCCAGGUUCUUCAACUCAUAACUCCUGAGUUCUCUAAUUACUUUUAUUUACAUUCAAGUUAUUUAUUGGAUUCCCGCUUGCAUCAAGUGCUCUAGUCUUUGAAACAUUAGAGUAGUAAUUAAUAGAUUAGACGUGGUGUUUAGUCUUGCGAUUACCUGGAAUUGCACCCAAUCUUACGGAUUGUUGUGGUAGCCCUAGGGUAGUGACAGCCCUAACGGUCGACGUAUUCCACCACGUUCGGAUCGGUGUUUGUAGGACCGUAGUCAGACCUUCCUAGCCCCCUUCUCAUCUCUUUCUGUGGUUAGUGCUCUGAUGUCCCGAUAUAGAUAAUCUUGAAGUAAUUCUUGAUUCUUAGAUCAACUAGAGAACUCUCAGGAAACUUCCUCUGUUCCCACCAAAAAUAAUUAUAUAGUUAUCCUUGGGCGAUCUUGAAUCUUAAUUAGUACACUCACGUUCUCUGUGGAAAAUCGAUACUCUGGAAUACUCCCGGGUGAAAGCUACAUCGGUAUCCGUGCGCUUGCGGAUUUUUUCUGUUUGCGUUUAAAAUACCCAACAGAUACGAGGGCACGCGUAAUCAUCAUCAAGCUACCAAGACGGGACGGCUUGAGACCACGCCGGUACGGAGGCCUCGAGUAGGUCAGCGCGCCAUGCCUCUAUCGACCCCUACACUGACACCUAUACGUGUACCCUAGGUCUCUCCUUGGAGCAGAAAAGGGGAGACCCGAGAAUAGACACACAUCACCACACAACGCUACACCCGCACGUAGUAGAGACUCCACACUCCAUUCUACCCGAGCUUGUAUUCACCCCUGUACAAGCACUUAGGUGCAAAAUAAUACAAACUCUCCCCCCCCCCCGCUGGACGUAGGGCCUUCUCUUGCCCGAACCAGGAUAAAUCUUUGUGUGUCUUUUUGCAUCACCAUUUGGGAAAGGGAGCACGCAUACAAAUUUACUCGUUGGUGUGACCCCCCGUGUGGAAAACACCGACAAUAUUUCUGUUUUCCCUUGUGAAAUAAAUGCUCAAGUUAUCUUGUUACUACCACUUGUACGAGGAAAUAAAAAGGGGCAAGUGCCCGGAACCUCGAAAGAAAAAAAAGAAAAGUGAGACGAGAGGUAAAAAUGGACAAGUGUCCGACAGUAGAAUUAGGGGUACAAGAUACCCACCUGAGAGAAAAGAAAAAAAAAGAAGAGCAUCUCAUUCUCCUCAUAAAGUUUCAAAAAGCAAGGAAGGUAUGUAUCCCCUCAAGGAGCAAAAGUAGAAUUAGACUUCCACCAUUGUUAUCACCAUCAUCACCAUACACCAUUCAUUCGCCACACAUGCACAUCUUGAUUUGACUUAUUGAUUUGUUUCUUUGGAUCCAUGGUUUGACUAUGCAAUAAAUGUCUUGUAAGUAUGUAUAUUUUAUCUCCCACCUAUGAGCUCCAGCUAUUAAAGCCUUAUUAGAGUAGGGUGAGAGAGAAGGCAAUGUCACUAUGCUUUAUACCACAAAUACUACAUAUCUUGAGAGAAGGCAUAUACCAUCACUGCCUUGAUAAGGAUCCAGAAAUACCACAAAAGAGAGAUAUGAGAGAAUCAUACAAGGAAUCUCUGAGUUUUAUUUCAAAAUCUGCAAAAAACCCCAGAGCUAUAGCUGAUCAAGAAUAAGAGACAUGGCACUUGACUAGACUGUUCUAUCUUUUAACUACUCAAGACAGAAGUGACAGUUACAAGUCCCAUGGUGUAGGUAAAGUAAGUAAGUUUUAAGUCUUGACAGUUUACUCU
rnacentral:lncRNA from 1 species